rnacentral:lncRNA from 1 species
UGAAAAUAAAGGAAGUAGUUAAAAUAUUAUCCAAUCUCACCAUUUAUUUAUUAUAAAAUAUUAGAUACGAUACAUAAUUAAUUAAGAGAUGGAUGAGGUUAUAUAUAUAUAUAUACACACUCACUUCAUUUAUUUAGGUGUGUGUGAGUAUAUCAAGACUUUUUACGGACUUACAUAUUUAGAUAUUUUAGAGAUUCUGUUAAUUAAAGUAGAAGAGUAGGUGAAUAUUGGUAUGUUGAAAACAUGUGUUAUUUAUACUCAUGAAUAGAAUAAUUAAGUAGUAUAUAAUUGUUGUUGUUCAUCUUGUAUUCCAAACAUACUUAGAACAAAACUUUGAACAUCUUUGUAAGAAAACAAAGUUUAAGAACAUUUUCACAACUAGAAAAUUAAAACUAGUAGCGAAACUAGAAUCAGAAACAGAUUUUUUUAAAAAAAUAUACGAAAUAUUUUUCUUAAAGAGGAAUUGUUGUUAAUAUGUGUCUAAAUAAUCUUACUGAUUCCAACAAACUUUGCAGAAACACGAAGUUACCAAGUUUAAUGAACCAGUGAAGAACAGAAGAAUAGAAGAACUGAAAUUAAUUGACAAAUCUAAAAUUUGUAAAAGACGUACCAGAAUCUGAAAAUUUUUAAUAGGAAAAAGAUCAAGUCCACUGAAUUCACAGUGUCCCCUUAAGGAAAUUAUUAGUUAAACGUGUUGGGAGCCGUGCAUGCAUAUAUAUAUACAUUUCAUGACAUAUAUAAUAAUAAUAAUAAUAUUAUUAUUCAAUCUCACCAUUUAUUUAAUAUAAUAUUACAUGAUAAUUAAGAGGGCACUUCAUUUAUUUAGGUGUGUGUGAGUGAUGAUGGAGUAGUCCUAGGUAAUAGUGACGGUUGCUAGAGAUGUAAGUAUCCCAAAAAUUGCUGCCAAAGUUUGACCAACCACAUUCUCAAGUAAGUUUCCAAUAAGGAUAACAGGAGCUACAAGGGUUCCUGUGGUUGGAGUCAAAGUGCAAUUAGCAAUUGGGAGAGGAAUCCUUGCAAUACAUGUUCCUGACAAAAGACUUGUAUUGGUGGACACUGCAGCAUUAAUAAUGCCUUGACUAUUUGUGGACACUUGAGCAAUCGUUGUGUUGCCACAAAUAAUCGUUACAUUUGCUCCACUCACUCCGACGCCUGGGGCAUUACUUCCCGGUACGGAGCAAGACAAACUCCCCAAUAUACUUAAAUUAACAACACGAUCAACAACAGGUGGUACAAUCGGUGGUACUUGACCACCAACAGGUGGUACAAUCGGUGGUACUUGACCAACAACAGGUGGUACAAUCGGUUGGCCAAGAAUAGGACUAAGAAUGGGACCGACAAUUGGACUGAGAAUAGAACCAACAAUCGGUAAUUGGCCAAGACCAACAGGUGGUACUUGACCAACGGGUGGUACAAUACGUGGUGCAGGUUGCCCCAAAAUGGGACCCAAAAUGGGACGAACAAUGAGACCCAAACCUUGAGCAUGAGCUAGAGGACUGAUGGUGAUGAUGGAAAGUAGAACAACAAGGGAAACAACACACAUUUUUGAAGACAUGAUGAUUUGAUAAUAUUUUUUUCUGUUCAAUAUCCCCUUUUUAUAGUGCUCCUUUUUAUUUACUCCACCCCUACCUUAACUUACCCAACCCCCUAAUUUAUAUAAAUGAUUAAAUAUAUUAUCUUUCAUCCCUAAAUAGCAUUAUUAAAGACUUACAAUAUCUCCCUAUAUCAUCAUUAGUUAGGCUGAAACUCAUCAACUUGAACAACAUUGGGACCAUACAAAUUAAUUAAUUCAAUAUCAUUUUGACUUGUCAUAAGAAGAAAUUUUUUUGUAAGCUGAGGCCAAAAGUAGGGUGGGCAUUCGGUAUUUCGAUUCGGUUUCAGUUUUUUUUCCGAUUUUUUGAUUAUUGUAAAUUGUGUACCGAAUACCGAAUCAAAAUAUUUUGGUUCAGUUUGGUUUUUGUUAAUUCGAUUCGGUUUUUUAUUUCGGUUUUUUAUGUUGAUGGCGCGGCUGCUAGCUGCUGACUGGUUGAAUGUUGAUGGUGCCUGGCAGACGGCGUGGCGGCGCUGCUGCUAGUUGCUUGACAGCGCGGCGGCGCUGCUGCUGUCUGCUUGACGGUGCGGCGGCGCUACUGCUUCUUUUGGCGGCCGGCCGGCGCAGCUGCUACUUCUCGCGGCUGCUGCUGCUUCUUCUGGCGGAUGGCCGGCGCUGCUGCUUCUUCUGGCGGACGGCCGGCGCUUAUGCUGAAUCUGGCUGGAGGAGAAGAAGAAGAAGAAGAGGAAGAAGAGGAGAGGAAGAGGAAAGACCAAGAGGAAAACAAAUCAGUAGAAAGAUGAAAGAGAGAGGAAUAGGGCCCGUAGGGUUUCUUUUUAAAAAAAUUAUUUAAUAUUAAUAAUUAUUAAUUAAUAUAAUAUAAAUUAUAGUAUAUUAUUUCGGUUUAAAUCGAAAUAUCAAAAACUAAAAUAAUACAUACCGAAAAUCGAACCGAAAUACCAAAAAAUAUAAAAAAGUAAAUCGAAAACCGAACUGAAAACCGAAAUAUCGAAACCGAAAUUUUGAAAAAUUUCAAUUUCGUUUGGUGUUUCGGUUUUCCGAUGUUUGCUCACACCUAGCCAAAAGGCCUUUAAUUUGCUCAUAGGAACUAUUUUGAUGGAAUAAAUAACUCCACUUGGUUUGGGUGUCAAAAAAAACAACAAUAAAAAUAACAACAACCAUCGAAGAUUUUUGAAAAUAGUUGUGUGAUUGUUAAUCACUUCAUUUAAAAAAAAAUUAAUGUUAUAUCAUGUUUUUAAUUAUAAUAAACUACACUAUAUAAUAAUAAUAAUAAUAAUAAUAAUAAUAAUAAUAAUAAUAAUAAUCAAGGGCAAAAAGCUAAUCUACUUGGUCAACAUAAAAUGACUUUUAAGUUGAAAAAAAAACACCCCUCACCUAUCUUUUAGAUUUUGGCAUAAAAUAAGUCAUUUUGGACUUAAAAUAAGUCACUUUGAUAAUUGUCAAACACUCAAAUAAAUCAAAAACUGAAUUUUAAAUCAGUUUGACCAGCUUUUAAGCCCAUUCCAAUAGGCUCUAAGUGUGUAAAUAACUUUUCGAUACAAGUUCAAGGUGAAAUUUAUGUCUUUUCCCUUUGAAAUACCUAUCACAAUACUUUAUUUCUCACGCCAUGUAUUCAUGAUAUAAUAAAAAUAUAUAUAUUAAAUAUUGAAUAAGAAAUUUAUGGGUGCCUCGACUAUGUUAAAAAAAGACAUAUGUCUUAGGUCCCCCAAAUUUAAGGGGCCUCAUUUUUAAUAAUAAUAGGUUAUAAGUUAUUAUUUUUUUAACAAAUAUUGAAUACUAUUUAUAGAAAAAGUAAAAUUUUUCAUGAAAAAUAAAGGAAUUAUAGAAGAAAUUUGACAUGUUUGAAGUAAUAUAUCUCAAGAAAAAUAAUUUAAAAUAAGAAUGAUUAUAUUAUCAAUUGAAAACUAGAAGAAAUCAAUUAUAUGAAGUUAUUGACGAUUCAAGUCUAAUGAUCUAUUUAAUUUUUGAUUUAAGCCACUAAUAUACUUAAGUCACUUCUAAAGAAAUUUUGAUAUUUUUUCAAAGAAAGAUGUAACAUAAAAGUUAUAAUAAAAUAUGUCUUUUACUUUAUCAGAAAAUAUCAAGAGAACGUGGGAUGAAUGCAUGAGUUAAUUUGACAAAGUUUUAUCAUUCAUUACAAUAUUAUUAAAAUUAAUAAUCUAUCUUAUUUAAUGGCUCAAUAAGUGAAUGAAAAGACAUGUUAAAACUAAUGUAAUUAAGUAUUUUACUUUUACAAAUUAUGACUUAUUAAAACUAAUGUAAUUAAGUAUUUUACUUUUACAAAUUAUCAAAAAUUUCAAAGGACUAAAUCGUUAUGUCAGAAGUGAUUUUAUUUUCACGGUGUUAAGUGAAAUCGCUAAAUCACUGACCUACCAGCGAUUUUGUUCAUAUUUUUUUCCUAUUUUUUUUAAAGGCAACGAUUUUAGUGGAUUUUUUUCCUUACAUCUCGUAAUUUGAAAUAACUAAGAAAUCAAGAAUAAACAAAAUCGCUUCUGAUAUAGCGAUUUAGUGCUUUUAGUUUUAAAAAACUUAAUGUACCCUUUUGAAAUUUUUAAUGUUUUUUUUAACUCAAAGAAAAUUUUUGUAUGGGUAGUGUUUUUGGAUUUUUUUUUAGAAAAAUAAAAUUGCUUUACUGUCGCAUUUUUAUUUUAAUUGUUUUUAAUAUCGCUGCCUAAAAAGCGAUUUAAGUGGGAAAUUAUUAUACUUUUUGGCAAAUGGUAGCGAUUUGUGUGGAAUAUUUUUUAUUUCUUUCUUUUUAAAAAUCUUGGCAACUCUUUAGUUAAAUAACUUUUAUUAAGAUAUUGCUGGCAAUUAUUUUUUAAAAAUUCGUUUUAAAUGUUGGUAAUCAAUUUUAAAAAAUAAUUAUACAAUUUUUUUAAAAAAAAAAUUGGCACUGAUAUUUUUUUUUAAAAAAGAACUUCCACCAAGCAGCGAUUUUUUAUAUAAAAAUCACGAAAAUAGCUGUCAAGAAUUUUUUUUCCAUUAAAACGCUGUUUUUUUUAAUAUAUAAAUGUUGCAUUGCAGUGAUUUAAAAAAAGAGAAAAUUGUAUAUAAUAUAGUAAACUAAUAAUAUAAAAUAAAAUGAAGCAGCUAGGAUUUGAUUUAAUUGUGCUCCAUAGCAAAUGUUUGCAAAAAAUUGCCAGACACCUCUCUCCCAAAUAUCUCGCUCGCCACUCUCCUCCAAUCUCUCGCUCUCUUCCUCACUUUUUAUACAAACACAAGUGUAUAAAAAUUGUUUCUAAUUGUAUAAAGCAGAAAAAAUUGUAUAAAUACAUAUAUUUUUGUUUCCUUCUCUCCUCUCUUCUAGAUCUCGCUCGCCACUCUCCCAAAUCUCGCUCGCCACCCUCGCCUUUCUCACUUAUAUAAACAGAAACGAAAUGUAUAAAUUGCGUUUCUGUUUGGAUAAAGCGUGAGAAAAUUGUAUAUACACAUGCAAGUACAUAUAUUUUCGUCCUAUACACCCAGUUUCUUUUGCCUUUCUCUCUUUCUCAUUUUAUACAAUUUUCAAAUUGUAUCUAAUUUCUUUCUUCCUCGUUUUAAGUAAAGUUAUCAUUACAUAAAUCAAAUGGAGUGAGCUCAAACUUUAGUUAAUUUUUUUUAAAAAAAAUAUUUUGUUGUUUAACAAUUUUUAAAAUGAAAAUGCUAAACCUUUUUCACAAUUAUGUUUUAUAGUUUUUUUAUCAAUAUCUAGUCGAUGAUAACCAUAAUUUUAAUAUAAAUAAUAUAAUAAGGUAACUUAAUUCUGAAAUUCAAGUAUUGAUAUUUUUGAGAAAAUAUUUAUUUAGAAAUUGUAAAACAUUCAUAAUCUAAUAUUUAAUAUGUUUCUUACUCUCAACGAAUGACACUAAUUCAUCAUGAUUCAAAAUUGUAAGAAGUAAAAAUCAAUACUAAAAAGUGCAACUCAUUAUUAUAUGAAGUUUAAUAUGUAGUUUAUCUAUUGUCGAAAGUUUUCCAAGUAUAUGAUAUAUAAUUCUAUGAUAAAUUAAUUUUUGAUCCCAUAUAUUUAUACUAUUUUCAAAUUUAUACCGUUAAUUGAUUAUAUAUUUUCUUAAACUACAAUUACGCGAUCAUUAUUUAUCAAUUCUACUUUAUCAACUUUAUAUUCUUCUUUUUUAUAUCUUUAGAAUUGUGCUAUUUUUGUUUUCUUAUUUAAGUUACAAUUUUAAAGAUAAAAUAAAUAUUUUUUGGAGAUAAAAUAAGUUAAAUAAAAAACUAUAUGAAUACUUAUGUUGAAAAAAAUUAUAUAUAAUUAAAAAAUUGUCCUAUUUUUAUUUUCUUAUUUAAGUCACAAUUUUUAAAGAUAAGAUAAAUAUUAUUUUGAGAUAAAAUAAGUUAAAUAAACUAUAUGAAUACUUUUGUUUAGAAAACAUUAUAUAUAAUUAAAAAAAUUACAUAUAUGAAAGAUUAUAAAAUUAUACUGGUUAUGUUGUAGUAGUAAUAAACAUAGAUGAACAAUUUGAAUUGUCAAGAGUAUAAAAAUAAAAAUAUUUUUCACAUUAUUAUUAUAUCAAACAAAUACAAAUUGAUUUUCAAAAAGAAUAAUAAAAUGUAUUUGUGGGUCACACAUGAAACAAAAAUUAUGUGAUUCUUGAAAAAAAAUAAUAGAUUCUUCUAGAAAACUAUUUUGACAAUUAAUUAUACAAUUAUAAAUUUAAAACUUUGCCCAUAAAAAUAAUUAAAAUUACAAAAUUGUCAUUGAUUGGCCUCAUCAUGACUCUUAUGUAUAAUAGAAACUAGACAAUUGAAGGCCCGUUCAUGGGCUCAAUAUAAUUAAUUAUUUUUUUCAAUUUUAAGUUAAAAAAAUUAUCCAAAUUAAUAUCUUAUUUUAUCAUAGUUUCUAAAAUUUUCUACUAUUUAAACAAUUACAAAAAUGUCCUCUCAGAUACAUUCUUAUCCUCUGUCGGACACAUCAGUAUCUCCUCUCGAAUACAUUCCUAUCAUUUCUUGAAUACAUCUUUAUCUCAUCCUGAAACAUCCAUAUCCUCUCUUGGAUACAUCUCUCCCCUUUCGGAUACAUUCAUUCUCUCUCGAAUACAUCCCUACCUUCUCGGAAUCAUCGUGAGCUCUAUGUCUGCAAGUUUCCUCAAUAGCAAUGUAUCACGAUCGAUGUAUCCGCAUGUGUUGAUUUAUCUGAAAUUAUUUAAUUUUAAAAAGAUUUCGUAAUUUGAAAAAAGUAGGAAUAUAAUGUAAUUAACUCUUUACUCUAUGACAUAUUUUUCUUUGUAGUCAGUUUCAAAAGAAUGAUGUAUAACAUAUUUAAAUAACAUUUUGACUUUAAAAUAUUCAUUCUAUUCUUAGUAAUAUUAUUUAUAGUCAUAUGAACAUCUAUGGUUUGUUUUAGACCAUGAGUUUUAAAAGUGUUUUUUCUUUUAAAAAAUUUUCGUGUUAAGUUAAAUUAAAAUUUCAUAAACCGAAAGGGAGUGAGUACAAACUUUAGAUCAAUUUUAUAUUUAUAAAAUUAAAGUUUUUGUAACUAUUUUGUCUUUUAACAAAAUUUAAAAUGAAAUAAUUCACAAUUAUUUUUAUAGUAUUUUUUUAAAAUCAAUAUUCUAUCAAUAAUAAUAAAUUUUUUUAAUUUAAAUAAGAUAAUAAAGUAUUUUAAUUUUGAAAUUCAUGUAUUGAUAUCAAUUGAGAAAAUAUUUAAUUUUAAGUUGUAAAACAUUCAUAAUCUAAUAUUUAAUGUGCUCCUUACUCUCGAUGAAUGACACUAAUUUAUAAUAAUUCAAGAUUGCAAGAAGUAGAAAUCGAGACUAAAACGUGCAACUCACUAUUAUAUGAAGGUCACUAUGUAAUUUAUCUAUUGUGGAAGUCUCAUUAGUAUAUGAUAGAUAAUUCUAUGCCAAAUUAAUUUUUGUUUUCAUAUAUUUAUACAAUUUCAAAAUUUAUCCCGUUAAUUGGUUAUGUAUUUUAUUAAACUACAACUGCACUCAUUAUUUUAUCUUUUUUUUUAUUCUUACAUUAUCAACUCUAUUUUUUUAUCUCUUUAGAAUUGUGAUACUUUUGUUUUCUUAUUUAAAUCACAAUGUUUUAAAGAUAAAACAAAUUUUAUUUUGGAGAUUAAAUAAAUAUUAUUUUGAAGAUAAAAUAAAAAAAAGAUUUACUAACCUACAACCAGGAAGAUCCACUUUGAAACCCAGCGACGAAGAAAACUUUGAAACUCUUAGCCGCGAAAUGAGGGUGAAAGAGUAAAAUCAUUUCUGGAAAAUAAUGAAACGAGGGGAAAAAAGCGUAAUAAAGAUUUAAGGAAUUAGUCUAUGUGGUAGUGGACCCUAUUGACAUGCAAUAUGGAAUUCACAUAGCAUUUAACAACUUCUCUUAAUUAGAAGGGCAAUUUUGACCCAAUAGUUUCACGGAAAGGGUACUUUUGAGCCGAAAUAUACUUUAAGGGUAAAUAUGAGUUAUUUCAGAUAGUUUAAGAGUAUUUUUUACCCUUUUACUUUUAGUCUACGUGGUAGUGGAACCCUAUUGACGUGCAAUGUGAUGGCAUUUAACAACUUCCAUUAAUAAGAAUUGCACUUUUGACACAAUAGUUUGACGGGGAGGAGAGUUUUGAGCGGAAAUAUAAUUUAAGGUAAAUAUGAAAUAUUUCAGAUAGUUUAAGGAUAUCUUUGACCCUUUUAUGUUAAAACUAUAUGAAUACUUAUGUCUAAAAAACAUUGUAUAAAAUUAAAAGGAAAUUAAAUCAUGGAAGAUGGUAGGCUAUACUGAAUAUGUUGUAGUAACAACAAACAUAUAUAAACUAUUAAGUUGUAUAAAUAUUUUUUAUUUAUUAUAAUCAAACAAAUAAAAGUUAAUCUUUAAAAAUUAAAUAAAAUGAUUACAUGGAGUCCCAUGAAACAAAACUUUUUGUGACUCUUGAAAAAGAUUAUUGGAUACUUCUAGAAAAUUAUUUUGACCACUGAUUAUGCAAUUAUAAAGUUGUAAUUUUGCCCAUAAAUAAUGUUUAAAAUUACAAUAUUGUCAUUGGUCAUCCUAAUCAUGACUCUUCUAUAUAAUAGAAAUAAUAAUAACUAGAUAUCAGGUGCCCGUGCUAACGCAAACGCAACGUAUGUUAGAUUUUUCUUCUUCCAAUUUAUGUGACAAAAAUGAAAUUUGAAAAAAAUGAACUAAAUUUUUUAUAUGUGUUUUUUUUAAAAAAUAUUUUAAAUUAUUAAUUUAUGUAUCUUUUUUGUCAUUUUCGAAUAAUAUAUGUUACUUUAUCUAUUUUAUUUUAUAUGAUACAAGUGAUUUUAGGAAAGUAAACGAAAUUUCUUAUAUGAUUUUCAUAUAUUUUUAGUUGUCAUUUUACUGCGAUUCAUAGUACUUUUUAGUUAUUACGUUAUUUUCAAACAAUAUAUGCAACUUUUUUUUUGUUUCAAUAAAAAUAAGGGAGUCAACAAAAUUUCAUUAUGUUUUUUCAACUACAUUUUUCUAAAAAUAUUUUAAAUUGUUACAUUGCUUUUUAAAGUUUUUUUAAAUGUAACUUUCAAAUAUGUAACAAAUUAGAAAUUAAAACGAAGAAUUAAAGUUUUCAAAUCAUUAUAUUUCUAUAUUAGAAUAUUAAAACCUUUAAAACUACAUAUAUAUGCAUAAAUUAGUAGAAGGAAGCCUAACAACUUAUUUUUAAAAAAAUAUAUGAGAGCUCAUUUUAAUAGUAAUACAUACAUAUUUCAUUUUUCAAUAUCCGAAUCCCUCCUUUUCGAUUUAUAUAAAUUUAAUUUAAUUUAAUUUUUAUUUUGUUUCAAAAAGAAAAUAACUUCUGAAUUUUAUUUGUUUAUAAAGCAUAUUUAAGAUCACAAAAUCAAAAAAAAAUAUUUCAAUUCACAAAAUUUAAAUAUACAUAUAAAUUUUAAUUUUAAUUUUGAUUGGUUCCACCUAAUAUUAUACUUGAUAUAUAAUUAUUAAGAGCUAAGCGUAAUCAUUAUCUAUUUACUUUCGUAUAAUAAAUAGAUAUCACAAUAACUCUUAAAAAAUGAAGAAAUAACGAAAAUGAGAUAAUACUAAUAAUAAUCACUAAAGAUUUUCUAGAACUAGUUAAAUUUCUUGUUAUCAAUCGUGUUAGUUUUUUGCUUGCAUAAAUUACAUUUUUACCUUCGAUCAUCAUUCACUUCAUAUAUAGAAAGAUGUUUCUAGAAUUAUUUAUUCUUGAUAAAUUAUUGUUAGAAUGAAAUUACAUUUUAUUCUUAGUCGUCUUUAAUACAAAGUAUCAUCCUAUUCAUUUUUUAUUUGUCAAGUUACUUUUUAAGAUCUUUUUCUUUAAUUUCAGUCUAAUAUAUAUUAUUAAUUUAUCACACUUAUUUAUUUUCAAGUAUAUUAUUAGAGUCAAAAUAAAGAUGAAAAUAAUUAAUUCAUGAUAACUUUUUAUAUAAAAAGUAGGCAUAUAUUAUAAGCAUAAUGAAUAGAAAAAAAUAUUAAGAAUUAAUUUAAAGUAAUAGUAAAGUAGAGUAAUUAUAAAAUAGAUAUCACAAUAACUCACAAAAGAAAAGAAAGUGAAGUGAUAACAAAAUAAGUUAAUGGUAAUAAUAAUAACUUAAAAUAUUUCUAGAACUAUUAUUUUUAUUUUUUUUUGUUAUCAUUCUUCAUAGAUUUUUGUUAGCAUGAAAUUAUAUUUUUGCUGUAACGACCUGUUUAGUCGUUUGGAGCAGCAGAGUUAAUUUCUGAAAAUCACUGUCUGGGUCGACGGAUCCCACGACAGACCGUCAUGGGCACGACGGACCGUCGAGGGUGUCUCGUGCCAAAACACUUAGAAUUUAGAAAUUUGGGUACUGAGAUCGACUCUCUGAACUUCACGACGAAAUGGCAGGACGGACCGUUGAGGGCUCGACGGACCGUCACAAAUCCUUCCGCAGAAUUAACUCUCUGAACCUUGUGACGGACGUGCAGGACGGACCGUCACAGUUGUGACGGACCGUCACAGGCUGCGUGACCCUGACUGGGUCGGAUUUCUGUUAAAUAUUUUAAGGGGCGUUUUGGACUAUUCCUACUUAUAAUUAUAAAGUUAGUGGUUUAAUGUUAAUAAUUUAAUUACUUGGGGGUUAAAAGAGAGAACCUUGAAACAAAUAGUGGGAUAUUUUAUCAUCUUUUAUACUUAAUUAUAUGCUAAUUAGGGUAAAAGAAAGAGGGUUUGAAUAAGAAAAAGAAAAAGAACAGAGAGAGAGGGAGAAACGAUCGAUUGAGAGAGAAGAAGAACGCAGCUUUGGGAAAGUAGAUUGCUUGAUCACAAUCCUUCGGUGGAGGUAGGUUAUGGUUUAUGCUAUUCGUAGUAAACUCUUAAUAGCGAAUGAUAUGUAUUGGGUAGUGUUGUAAACCCUUCUAUAUGCUUAAUUGUAUGCUUGCAUGAAUGUGAUUAUAUAAUUGUGAUAAAAUAAGCAUGAUGAAGCUAUUGAAUCCUAAAUCUUGAAAAUCCUAAUCUACUUUGUUAAUGAUGAUGCCUUGGUAUAAAAGAAGGCUUGAUGAACGAAAGUAGUAAGAUUAGGGGAUCGGAGUGUCACGUUCCGACACCAGGAUAGUAUAUGGAUCGGGUGCCACGUUCCGGUACCAGGAUAGUAUAUGAGGAUCGGAGUGUCACGUUCCGACACCAGGAUAGUAUAUGGAUCGGGUGCCACGUUCCGGUACCAGGAUAGUAUAUGAGGAUCGGAGUGCCACGUUCCGGUACAAGGAUAGUAUAUGAGGAUCGGAGUGUCACGUUCCGACACCAGGAUAGUAUAUGGAUCGGGUGCCACGUUCCGGUACCAGGAUAGUAUGAUGAGGAUCGGAGUGUCACGUUCGGACACCAGGAUAGUAUAUGGAUCGGGGUGUCACGUACCGACACGAGAGAAAUAAAGAUAAUGAAUCUUGAAAGAUGUUAAUAUACUCAAUUUAAUGAACCUAAUUCCCAAAUGAGUAUGAUGGGGAGGCGUGAGUCCUCAUUGAUGUGCUUGGUGUUGUGACCAAGAGUUAUGAUAAUUAUAAAUGCCGCAUGUUGAGUAUUGUAGUUGAUUUUAUGAUAUAUCUGAUAUAUACUAUUUUCUAUUUUGAGUUGGCCGAUGAUAUCUACUCAGUACUCGUGUUUUGUACUGACCCCUACUUGUAAUUGUUUUUCUUUGUUAUUUGUGGAGUGCAGCAAACGUACCGUCGUCUUCAACUCAACCGCAACUCUAGCCAGUCUUCAUUACACCGGAUUUCAGGGUGAGCUAACGCUUCUAGCUUGGACUGGAUCUUCUUCUUCAUGUCUUGAUGCCUUGAAGUUCCGGCAUGGACUAGCUUUUUAUUUAUUCUAGCUUUCUAAAUACUCUUAGAAUUAGUAAUUUGAGGAUAGAUGUUCUUGUGAUGAUGACUUCCAGAUUUUGGGAAUAAUAAGUAUUGAGUUUUUAGAAGUUAUUUAACCGAUUUUCAUUAAUGAGUUUAAGUCUUCCGCAUUAUAUUCUGUUUAUUAUGGUUCAAAUGUUGGGGUUUAGAUUGGUUGGUUCGCUCACAUAGGAGGGUAAGUGUGGGUGCCACUCGCGGCCCGCUUUGGGUCGUGACAUUUGCCCUUGAUUAUUAUUCACUUCAUAUAUAGAAAGAUGUUUCUAGUAUUAUCAAUUAUCUUGCUUAAUAGAUUUUUGUUAGCGUGAAAUUACAUUUUUGCCCUUAAUCGUCCUCCCACUUCACUCUUCUAUAUAAUUGAAUAGAAAUACAUUAUAUAAAAUAAAUAUUUAUAAAUGAUUAUAAGUUUUCUAUAUCCUUUUUAUAGUGAUUAAUUUACAAUAGGUAAAUGGAUAUGUAUGGGUAAUAAAAUAUAUAUGAGAAUAGUAAUUUAAUUGUGAUAUAUGGCAAAUUCAUCAAAUAGUCAGUCUCUAAUAAUUUAUAUAUUAGUAGUGAAGUAUAAUGUUAAAUUUUAAACGAGGAUUUACAUAACGUGAGAAAGACUUCUUUUCUUUUUUAUUUUCUCAAGAGAUUUUUACAUUUUAAAAUUAGUUUAUAACUUAACAUUAAAUUACUUUAUAUGUAUUUUACUUAUUCAAACUCUCACAUAAUUACUUGUACAUUUGUUUAUUUAUGGUCUUCAUAUAUAACCCCUAGUAUAGCCUUGCUAAACUAAAUUUUGAAAAUUAUUACUAGUAAGGUGUUUGUUUCCUCACCUCAUAUAUUUACAUCAUAUGCAUAAAAAUUAUGUAAAAUGAAUAACAUAUUUUUUUAUUUAUUUUUAAAGAGACUAGUUAUUUGGGGCCGCUAAAGCCUACUUCAAAAUUAGCAAAUCAAAAGAAAGGAAGUGUACCUAUCAACCAAGUAAAAAUGUCAACUACUUCUAAAAAGUUUGGACAAUUUUUAAGACUAUGAAAAUAUAGAGACAUAGUAAAAUAUUGCGUGAAUCACUUAAUAAAAUCGAAAACAUAAUAUAUUGGAGAUAGUUUUACUAAAAAUAAUUUUACAAUAAAAUUGAAAUGUGUACAUAUUUAUUGAAUUGUGGGUAUAGAGACAAUUUUUAAGCUUUUUUCUGAUUUACAUAUAUUAAAUCGCGAAAGAAGUCAUGUGUUCUUAAUAAAAUAAUCGCUAAUGGCAAUUAUAUUUGCUGCUAAAAUUCUUCCUCUAAAUAACUUAAUUUACACUUUUAGCGUUUAAGACGCAAUGUCCAUCUUAAACUAAUAAAUAUGAGAAAUAAAUAAACUCAAUUGGGGGAUAACAAUUUCUUAAUUAGUAUGUUAUAUAUACAUUAUUUCAAUUAUACUUUCGAGUUUUGAUAUUACGAAAAUAUAAUGUCAAACUUUAAAGACAAGAAUUUACAAAUGAGAACGACUUUUUUUUAAAAUAUAAUGUCAAACUUUAAAGACAAGAAUUUACAAACCAUGAGAACGACUUUUUUUUAUUAUACGUUUUAUUAUAUAUAUAUAUAUAUACAUACACACACACAUAUAUAUACAUAUAUCAUUGACUCUAUAUAUAUAAGAUAGGAAAGAGGUUAAAAUAUAUCAUUGAACUUUCAGAAAAAAACUCAUUUAUUCAUCAGUUAAAAGUUUGGCUCAUUUAUGCCAUUACCGUUUAAAAAAGAUUCAUUCUUGCCAUUAUUUUUUAAUAAUGGUUUCGCAAAACCAUUUUUAAUACGUGACCAAUUAUAAUCGGCUACGUCCUCAAUUUAUUUAAUUAAAAAAUCAUCAUUCUAAAAAAAAUUGAAUUCAUUUUUUUUGAUUUUUUUAUUAAAUAAAUUGAUGACAUGGCUAAUUAGAAUUCAGUGGGAUUUCUUAAAUUUGGGCGGGUCUUUAUUUGAGUGGGGUUUUUAUUUAAUGUUUUCUCAGAAUUGAUUUUUUAUCAAAAAAAAAUAAAAAAUGAUGUGGCCGAAUCAUAACUUGUCACGUGUGAAAAGUGGUUGGGCAAAAUCGCCGUUAAAAACUAAUGGCAUGAAUGAGUCUUUUCCUAAAUGGUAAUAACAUGAACGAGUCAAACUUUUAACGGAUGACAUAAAUGAGUCUUUUCUAAAAGUUCAACGGCAUAUUUGAGCUUUUUCCCUUAUUAAAAAAGUGGCUUACAUACACUCAUAUUAUUACAUAAAUAUUCUAAAAUAUACCAUUUUGUUCUAACGGGAGUGAAAACAAAUAUUUUUUUAAACAUAAUUUUUUAUUUUUAAGAAGUAAAAUCUGAAUAUAUUAUCUUCCACUUUCCUAGAAAAUAUUAUCCUACAAGAUUUUUUAUUUUUAAAAUUAAAAUUAAUAUUUUCACUUCCAUUAGAUGAUGAAGAUAUACCUGAAUCACUUUUAUAAUGGUAAGGAUAUGUAUGAACUCUUUUAAUUCAAAUGUGAAUUAUUUUAUAAUGAGCGAUAUAACAAUUUUAAAUUGCAAAGUUAUGAAGACCUUUUUAUUUAGGGAAAAGGGUCUGAUAUACCCCUCAACUUUGUCAUUUAGAGCUGAUAUGCCCCUUGUUGUGAAAGUGGCUCAUAUAUACCCUUACUUGUAAACAAAUGGCUCACAUAUACCCUUUUCCUCUAACGGAAAUGGAAAAAAAAAUAAUUUUAAUCUAAUUUUUUAAUAUUUUUUGUCUAAAAAUUAUAAUCCCAUAUGAGUAAAUUUAAUCCUCGUAAAACAUAUUUUUUUUAACCUUUUUUAGUUUCAAUGACUAAUUUAUAAUUAUUAUUUUGAUAAUCAAAUUUAUUUAUGUUUCACUAAUAUUCUUGUAAAACUUAUUGUAGAUAACCAAAUUUUUUCUUCGAAUAUGAAAUUAAAUUACAAUACACACAAAAAAUAGUUUAAAUUUUUUCUCUUUAAACUAAGGAUUGAAAGAAAAAACAUAAGAAUAAGAAACUCAAAUAAUUAUAAUAAAAAAAGUCAAAAAAUAAUUUAUAUAUGAAAAAAAUCAAAAUAUACCUUGAACUUUGAUAGAAGAAUCAUAUAUAUCCCUAAAUAAUUUUUUUAAAAAAUUACAAGUAAUAAAUAUCAAUUUAAAACUAAUUUUUUAACUUCCGUUAAAUGAAGGGUAUAUAUGAGCCAUUUUGUAACGGGAGGGGUAUAUGUGAGCCGUUUGUAUAACGGUAAGGGCAUAUAUGAGCCACUUUUAUAACGGGGGGUAUAUUAGCUCCAAAUAACAAAGUUGAGGAGUAUAUCAGACUCUUUUUCCUUUUAUUUAUUGUAUAAAAGCAUUUCAUAUACUAGUUACAUAUUUAAAUAUUGAAAAUGUUGAUAAGAGAUCCCAUUAAAUGCUAAAGUAUUGGUAUUUUAAAAAAAUUUCCUUUUAUUUAUUGUAUAUAUCUAACAUCUCGUAACUUCAAAUAACUAAGAAUAAACUAAGAAAUCAAGAAUAAUCAUUUUUGGAAAUAAAUAGGAAAUCUGAAAAAUUUCCCAAGUGUAAAAGUGAGUUUUUGGUCAAUUUCAAACGACCAUAACUCCCAGCUUAGGAGGAGUUAGUGUGAGUUCCUUAUAUGGUUGGAAAUCCCUUGGAAAGAAAUUUCCAACAACGCCAAGUUUGUACAUUUUAGAUGUCGUAUGAAGGAGAUAUGACUUUCGAAAGUUUGGUUGUUGGAGUGAGGAAAAUUCAAUCCGGAUUUAGUAAGGAUAAAGUAGUCUUUUCACCCUAGUAUUUUCUAAUUCGUUUUAAGGGUUUAUUAGGGGUAAAAUCAAGUCCAUAUUCAGUUUUGAAAAAGUUGAGAACGCUCAUGGCUUGGGAGAAAAGAGAAGAGAAAACCAAAAUUUCUUCAAGAACGCUAAGGUUUCGCUAGAGGAAUUCAUCGGGGGUGAUCUCUAUCGAGGUAUAUGAGAUCUUUCUAUGUUGGGUUCGUUCACCCACACACCAACAUGUUUAUUUAGCAAUUUUUGUAUUGAUUGAAUAAUGAAUCUUGAAGUUCUUGAUGAGCAAUUGUUGAAUCCUUAUUGGUAGAGUUGUAGUGUACCUUUAGUUGGUGUUGAUUCGUAUUUUCAGGCUGUUUUACGAGUCUAAACUAUUGGGUAUUGAGUAUAUUAGUGAUUGAUACGCUCAAACUUACUUUUUAAAUAAGAAGUAAAGCAGUAAAUGGGGGUUUCUAUUCCUAAAUAAAUGAAAAUAACUAGCGAAAUUAAAGGAGACAACUAACAACUUCGAAUGUUGGAGUUUAAUCACUUAAUCAAAGUAACUAGGGUUUACGUGUUCCCCACAGGUUCAUAACUUGAUAAUUCUAACUAUAACAAUUCUUUCCUAGUAUCUUGCAUGCAAAGUGAUAAGUUAUGUAUUUCUAAAUCCUUGGUCCGGCAUCUAGAAAAUUUCACUCGGCACCUUGGUCCGACUACGUGUGUUGCUAUACUAACCCUUAUAUUUACCUCAUAUUAAGCAUCGUAUUCGAUAUUUGACUAAGUUAUUACCCCGUACCAAUCAAUACUAGCCUAUUAGAUAGUAUACACUAAAUUUAUAUUGAUAAUUCUUUUCCUAUUAUCUUCCUCCUUGGUCCGACAAGUAGCAUUAAGGCGAGUUCUAACGUUGGCCAUCCGUUAAAAAGACUUCCAAGCGAAAGAAUUAUCAAUACAUGCAAGACACUAUUCUAGAAUUGUUAUUUUAGUUAGAUUUUACCUCAUUAUUCGCCUAUGGUUCCCACAACCCUAAUUAUGGAGUUUAGUUACCCAUAAUCAUAAUCACAAUAUUCAAAUAUAUGAUAUAAGAAUUCAUGCACUUACUUCAAUGAGAAAGAGUAAAAUCCAAAAGUUAGCUUGAUUAAUCAACAAUCAAUUACAAGAAUAUCAAAAUAAUCAAGAAUCUCACAAAAAGUCUAAAAAAUAAUCAAGAGUCUAACAAUAAUCAAGGGCCUAACCAAAUAAUCCAGAGUCUAACCUCAAAAACGAGGUUUUUCAAACUAUUUAUAAAAAAUAAAAACCUAAUUACAUAAGGACUCUAUUUGCUGGAAAUCUGUCAAAACGCGGCUGGGUCAACGGACCUCGCGACGCAUCGUCGUGGUCACGACGGACCGUCAUGGACACGACGGACCGUCAUGGACUCCGUCGUCCCAUACUUGAUGCAAUUUCUUAUGCUGCUCUCUUCAUUACUCUCGACAGCAGGUAUGAUGGAUCGUUACAGGCACAACGAUCCGUCGAGGGUCUCCGUUCCAAAACACUUGAACUCUUGGAAUAUGGGUACUGGGACUACUUCUCUGAACUUCAUGACGAACCUGCAGGACGGACCGUCAUGGAUACGACGGUCCGUCACGCAUUUUGUAACCCCACACUUGGUCAGACUUCCCCAUUUUCCUUCAGCAGCUGCACUACGUUGCCACCUACGGACCGUCACGAGCAUGACGGACCGUCACAAGCAUGACGGACCGUCACAAGCAUGACGGACCGUCACAAGCAUGACGGACCGUCACAAGCUCCGUAGGUGGUCUCUUCUGCAUUUCUUUGCUCAAAAACCUCCGCAUUCAUCUUUGGAUAGAUUUCCUGCAAAUAAGGAGAAACUUAUAUAAAAAUUAGCACAAAAAGAUUUUGGACACACUAACUUAAGGAAAAAAUAUUAAUAAUACCGUGACACCAUAGUAUAUCAGUGAUCCUAAGUGUUUGGGAAAAAUCCAUGAAUGUUUUGAAGGUUUAGAGUUGAAAAUCGGAGAAGAAAAGUCAGAAAACUCGUCUGACAGGUCUUGUGGCACCGUGCCUACAAGAGCCCCUCAGGACAGACUCUUUCUGUCAGGCUCUGGCGCGCCGCCGUGCCAGCUAGAGCGCCUGAAGACAGUGUCUGUCGGUCAGGCGCUGGUGCCCCGCGCCUCUCAGAGCGCCAGGGUCACCUGGAGAUUCUAUUUCUCUCCCAUCUUUUCGUACGAGUUCCUAAGUGACGUAUCUAUUAUUUCUAGUUAGUUCCAAUACUCUAAAGUAAAUAUAAACAUUAUGAAAUCAUCCAUAAUAAUGAGAUCAGGAUCCGUGAAUGCAUAAUCCAAUUCAAGGGAAGUUAAGAUCAAAGUCAAAAAAAGUUAAGAGUCAAGUCUAAAAGUUAAAAAACAAGUCAAAGUAAGUUCCUAAAGCAUUCAAGAGUCUUAAACAAACAUUUUAACUUUGUUUUAAGGUUCAAGCAAUGAGUUGAGCAAAGAGUAAAAGAGUUGAGUUAAAUUUUCAAAAGCUAUAAGGGAACUAAGUAUUCCCUAAGAGUUAAGUUUCAAGUUAAGCAAAUAGUAACAAGUUGAGUUCACUUCUCAAGAGUUAGAAGGGAACUAAGUAGUCUCUAACAGUUUAAACAAGAUGUUUUUAAACUUUUGAGAAAGAAAGGAAGCUAGACUUCCACAGAGCCUAUGACUAGUUUUAGUAAAAGAAAAAGGAAACUAUGAUUUCUAAGAAAGUUUUUGAAGCAAAGUUUGAGAAAUUAUCUCAAACUAGAGAAGAAGUUGUUUUAAAAAAACAUAUGAGCUAAGUAUUUUGGGAGUAGUAUUGAGCACCGAUAUGGUGACGCGAGUUCAUAUUAACUCAAGUCUCCAUAAACCAUUGAGCCAACAUGGAGAUAUAAAAGAUCAUACUUUUUAGAUGAUUCCUUAGUAAUUUUAGCAUAGACUAGUGAAUCCUCUUAGUAGUUCAGGUUCUAUAUCGACGACAAGGUAUAGAGUGGUCCUCUUGCAACAUGAGGUAAUACGUUGUACCAUCACUUAGGCUCAUAGAUGGUUGUCGGUUAGAUAAUCUCUCAAAGAAAUUAUAAUACUUUCAAAUAUAUGAGUAAAGUUGAGUUUAUUAUUGAUUUAUCUUUAAUGAACUAAGUGUUUACACUGUUUUACAAGCUUUUCUUAUAUCGCAUGUGUCCUUACUGCUUUAUAUUGAGUCGUUAUUAAUGAGUUGAGCAGAACCAAGGUAAGUUCUUCCUUACUCCUUUCAAGCCUUAUAGUAGUGUUUAGUAUUCCAAUUCGCAUACUCGUUUGGCCUGCAUGCAUCGUCUUAUAAUGCAGAAGCAGGUAAUUAGGAUCAACAUGCAGCACUUUGUUGAACCAGUUUGAGCUCUAGAGUCAGUGGUGAGCCUCCAUGCAUUUCGGAGGAUCCUUUUAUUGCUAUCUAGUUAGUUCAAUAGAAUGUUGUGGGGUUUGUCCCAACAUUCAUCUCAGUCAGUUUAGAGGUUUCAUAGACGGAUAGUAGUAGUUAAGUUGUGUCUCUUUAUUUCAGAUUCUAUAUUUGAGACUUAAGUGCAAAUUUGGCCAAGACAGUAUUUAAAGUCAUUUUUAUGAGAACUUCUUCAAUUCUAUAACUGAAUUAAGUUGAGUCUUCCGCUGAGUUAAGUAAGUCAGACCAAGAGUUCCCUUGAGGCCAGCAAUGGUCACCAAGUGCUAGUCCCACCCAGGGUAUAAGCUCGGAGCAUGCUAAUAUAUGCAUUUCAUAUACGACUUACGUAUUCAGAUACUUUUAACAUUUUGUUAGAGCAGAAGAGUCUUAACUUAUAUAUGUAGGUGAAGUAUUGAUAUAUUGGGAUAUUGGUACUUAUUAUUAUUUUACUUUAAUACUUAUUUAUAAGUCUACAACACACGGUAAGCACACACAAGGUGCUCAACAUGUGUGCUUGAAGUAAAUUUAAUUUUGAAUGAGGUUAAUUUGGUCAUUUUAUAUAAUACUCAAUGUUUCUUUUACUUGUACAAAAUGCAAAAUUGCUUUUAUGGACAUCAAAUGACCAAAAACCCAGUAUCCUUUAACUCAUUGUCAUAUGUUAUAGAACAUUGCAAUUGGUUGAAAAUGAACUUUAAUGUAGUUGCAAUAUAAUUAUUUUUACUUCUUGUCAAAACUGCCCCUAUGCGGCUUAAGCUUAUUUUAUCAACUAUUUGUUAUUACGUGGAGAAAUUAAAGACAUCUUUAGAUGAGUCCUUUUAAGCGGUACCGACCUAGAUAUAUAUAUUCUUUUCGUUUUAUUUAUGUCAUUUUUACUAAAAAUAGGUAAUAUUUAAUAUUUAUCAUUUCACAAAAGUAAUGCAUUAUAUAGUAAUGAAAUCGACUCUCUGAACUCUGUGACGGACCGUCACAGGUACGACGAACCGUCGUGAGCCCCGUUUCAAAACACUUCAACUCUUGAGAAUUUGGUACAGGGAACGAUUCUCUGAACGUCAUGACGGAGGUGCAGGACGGACCGUCGUAGGUACGAUGGGCGUCACAGACUCCUUAAGGAAAUCGAGUCUUUGACGAACCUGCAUGACGGACCGUCGCAGGCACGACGGGCCGUCGCAGGUUGCGCAAUCCCAGUCUAGGUCAGAUUUCUUUACACAUUUUAAGGGACGUUUUUGACUAUUCCUUCUUUAAUUAUAAAGUUAGUGGGUUAAUGUUAAUAAGUCUAAUUACUUGGGGGUUAAAGAGGUAACCUCAAGUUAAUUAGUGGGUUAUUAUUGCCAUCUUUCAUUCUUAAUUAUAUACUAAUUAGGGUAAAAGAAAGAGGGUUUGAAUAAAGAAAAUAGAAAGAACACAAAGAGAGAGAGGGAGAAUCGAACGAGAAGGUGAAAAGAAGAGGAGAAACACAAAGCUUUGGGAAAUUGCUUGCUUGAUUUCUUGUCUUCGGUGGAGGUAGGUUUUGGUUUUCAUGCUAUUCGUAGUAAACUCUUAAUAGCGAAUGAUAUGUGUUAGUAGUAUUGUAAACCCUUCUAUAUGCUUAAUUGUAUGCUUGCAUGAAUGAUGUGAUUAUGGAAUUAUGAAUAAAUAAGCAUGAUGAAGUUAUUGAAUCCCAAAUCUUGAAAAGAAACCUAAUCUACUUUGUUAAUGAUGAUGCCUUGGUAUAAAAGAAGGCUUGAUGAACGAAAGGGGUGAGAUUAGGGGAUCGAGUGCCACAUUCUGGUACCAGUAUAGAGAUAGAGGAUCGGGUGCCACGUUCCGGUACCAGGAUAGAAUGAGGAUCGAAGUGUCACGUUCCGACACCAGGAUAGUAUAUGGAUCGGGUGCCACGUUCCGGUACCAGGAUAGAAUGAGGAUCGGAGUGUCACGUUCCGACACCAGGAUAGUAUAUGGAUCGGGUGCCACGUUCCGGUACCAGGAUAGAAUGAGGAUCGGAGUGUCACGUUCCGACACCAGGAUAGUAUAUGGAUCGGAGUGUCACGUACCGACACGAGGGGAAUAAAUAUAAUGAAUCUUGUAAGAUGCUAAUAUACUCAAUUUAAUGAAACUAAUUCCCAAAUGAGUAUGAUAUUGAGGCUUGAGUCCUCACGUGUGAACUUGACGGUAUUUGUUAAUGAUAUAGUACUUGUUGUUGCUACAUGUUGAGUAUCAUAGUUGAUUUUAUGAUAUUGCUUAAUAUAUAUUGUUUUCUAAUUUCGAGUUGACCGAUGAUAUCUACUCAGUACCCGUGUUUUGUACUGACCCCUACUUUUGUGUUUUCUUCUUUGUUAUUUGUGGAGUGCAGCAAACAUGCCGUCGUCUUCGACUCAACAGUAUUCAAGCCAGUCUUUACUACACCGGAAAUUCAGGGUGAGCUAAUGCUUCUAGCUUGGACUGGAUCUUCUUCUUCAAGUCUUGAUGCCUUGAACUUCCGGCAUGGACUAGCUUCUUAUGUAUUUUUAGCUUCUUAGACAUUUUUAGUUAGUAAUUUGAUCAUAGAUGUUCUUGUGAUGAUGACUUCCAGAUUUUGGGGAAUAAUAGUUAUUGAAUUGGUUUUUAUUUAAUGAGCUUAAGUCUUCCGCAUUAUUUUCUAUUGAUAUACGUUGAAAUGAUAAGGUUUAGAUUGGUUGGUUCGCUCACAUAGGAGGGUAAAUGUGGGUGCCAGUCGCGGCUCGGUUUUGGGUCGUGACAAACCUUGUAUCAGAGCAUUAGGUUCGUUGGUCUCAUCACACAAGAACGAGUCUAGUAGAGUCUUAAGGAACGGUAGGGGGGCGCCUUUACUUUUCUUUGAGGGGCUAUAAGACUUUAGGAAAUUCCAUUCUUUCUUAUCUCUUUCGUGAUACUACUUGAAUCCAAUUGGUAUCUAGGUGAUUCAAAUUGGUAUCUGACCAUCUUCACUCUAUUUCGCAGAUGGUUAGAACUAGAUCAACGACUGCGCCAACACCAACACCGGCAAGACAAGAAACGUCUGAGCCAGCCACUGGGGCUGUGGCUCAAGGAAGAGCAAUAGCAAGAGGUCGUGGUAGAGUUCGUGGGAGGACGUCCUCUAGAGGGAGAGGACGAGUACCUAGCCCAUCUGAUGCUAGGGCGGUGACUCCUCCACCGACUGAGGAAGUAGUAAGAGAGGGUGAGGAAGGGGAGAAUGAACAAGUGCAAAAUGAUGAAUUGCCACCCCAACCUACCCCAGAGAUGAUCAAUCAGGUUCUCGCUUAUCUUAGUGGGUUAUCUGAUUAGGGCCAGACACCUCCAGUGUUUUCUGCACCAGUACCUCAGGUUCCGGAGGUACAACAUGCGGCUACUAUGGCUCCUCGUAUGGAUGCCUCAUUGGACAUAGGCACGUUUCCACGUCUGACUACUGGGCCUAUAAUGACAAAUGAUCAGCAUGAACUUUUCAGUAAGUUCUUGAAAUUGAAACCCCAGUCUUCAAGGGUGCUGAAUCUGAGAAUGCUUACGAUUUUCUGGUUGACUGUCAUGAGCUACUACACAAGAUGGGUAUAGUAGAACGGUUUGGUGUUGAGUUCGUGAGUUAUCAGUUUCAAGGGAACGCCAAAAUGUGGUGGCGGUCACAUGUUGAGUGUCAACCAACAGAGGCACCACCUAUGACUUGGGCCUCAUUCUCUAGCUUGUUUUGGAGAAGUGUGUCAACCAACAGAGGCACCACUAUGACUUGGGCCUCAUUCUCUAGCUUGUUUAUGGAGAAGUAUAUCCCCCAGACUUUGAGGGAUAGGAAAAGGGAUGAGUUCUUGAGCCUAGAUCAAGGUAGGAUGUCGGUUAAUGCAUAUGAGGCUAGGUUUCGCGCACUAUCCAGGUAUGCCACUCAACUUUGUUUCAGUCUACAAGAGCGGAUUCGCCGGUUUGUGAAGGGGUUGAGGUCAGAGUUGCGGAUUUCGGCCUUACAGGUAGCGGCUACGGCAAAAUCCUUCCUAGAAGUGGUAGACUUCGUGAUAGAGGUGGAAGGAGUGAAGCCCAAUGACUUCACCUCGACAUCGACAUCAAAAAGGUUUCGAAAGGGAGGUGAGUUUAAUGGUUCUUACCCUAGGGGAUAGGGUUUCGGAGGUUACUCAGUCCGACCGAUUCAGUCUUCACUACAGACUGUAGUUGGGGGUCCACCUCAGCCGGUCAAAACUUCCUGAGGAGACCUAUGCAUGAACCAAGAAAGUGCUAUGGAUGUGGGUUUCAAUUUUGGAGAUUAAAUAAAUAUUAAUUUUGAAGAUAAAUAAAAAAAAGAUUUACUAACCUACACCAGGCGAAGAUCCCACUUUGAAACCCGCGACGAAGAAAACUUUUGAAAACUCUUACCGCGAUGAGGGUGAAAGAGUAAAAUCAUUUUCUGGAAAAUAAUGAAAACGAGGGGAAAAGCGUAAUAAGAUUUAAGGCAAUUUAGUCUAUGUGGUAGUGCCCUAUUGACAGCAAUAUGGAAUUCAACAUAGCGAAUUUAACAACUUCUCUUAUUAGAAGGGCAUUUUGACACAAUAGUUUCACGGAAGGGUACUUUUUGAGCCGAAAUAUACUUUUAAGGGUAAAUAUGAGUUAUUUUCAGAUAUUUAAGAGUAUUUUUUACUCCUUUUACCUUUUAGUCUACGUGGUAGUGGACCCUAUUGACCGUGCAAUGUGAUGGCAUUUUACAAUUCAUUACAGAAUUGCACUUUUUGACACAAUAGUUUUGACGGGGAGGAGAGUUUUUUGAGCGGAAAUAUAAUUUAAAGGUAAAUAUGAAUAUUUCAGAUAGUUUAAGGAUUCUUUGAGACCCUUUUAUGUUUAAAACUAUAAUGAAUCUUAAUGUCAAAAAACAUUGUAUAAAAUUAAAGGAAAUUAAAAUUCAUGGACAGAUGGUAGGCUAUACUGAAUAUGUUGUAGUAAACAAACAUAUAUAAAACUAUUAAGUUGUAUAAUAUUUUUUAUUUAUUAUAAUCAAACAAAUAAAGUUAUCUUUAAAAUUAAAAUAAAAUGAUUACAUGGAGUCCCAUGAAACAAAAUUUUUGUGACUCUUGAAAAAGAUUACUGGAUACUUCUAGAAAAUAUUUUGACCACUGAUUAUGCAAUUAAUAAAGUUGUAAUUUUGCCCAUAAUAUGUUUAAAUUACAAUAUUGUCAUUGUCCAUCCUAAUCAUGGAAUCUUCUAUAUAAUAGAAAUAUAAUAACUAGAUUCAAGGGUGCCCGUGCUAACGCCAACGCAACGUAUGUUGAUUUUUCUCUUCCAAUUUUAUGUGACAAAAAUGAAUUUGAAAAAAUGAACUAAAUUUUUUAUAUGUGUUUUUUUUUAAAAAAUAUUUUAAAUUAUUAAUUUAUGUACUCUUUUUUGUUGUCAUUUUUGAAUAUAUCUGUUACUUUAUCUAUUUUAUUUUUUAUGAAAUACAGUGAUUUUAGGAAAGUAAACGAAAUUUCUUAUAUGAUUUUCAAUAUAUUUUUAGUUUGUCCAUUUUACUGCGAUUCAUAGUUACUUUUAGUUAUUCACGUUAUUUUCAAACAAUAUAUGCCAAGCUUUUUUUUUGUUUCAAUAAAAAUAAGGGAGUUUCAACAAAAUUUCAUUAUCGGGUUUUACUCAUUUUUUCUAAAAAUUAUUUUAUUGUUCAUUGCUUUUUAAAGUUUUUUUUAAUGUAACUUUCAAAUAUGUAACAAUUUAGAAAUUAAACGAAGAUUAAAGUUUUCAAUCAUUAUAUUUCUAUAAUUAAGAAAAUUAAAUCGCUUUUAAAACUACAUAUAUAUUGCAUAAAUUAGUAAGAAGGAAGCCAACAACUUAUUUUUUAAAAAAAUAUUGAGAGCUCAUUUUUAAAUAGUAAUACAUAAUAUUUCAUUUUUCAUCAUCGAAUCCCUGCUUUUCGGAUUUUAUAUAAAUUAUAAUUUAAUUUAAUUAUUUUUAUUUGUUCAAAAAGAAAAUAACUUCUGAAUUUUAUUUGUUUAUAAAGAUAUUUAAGAUCACAAAAUCAAAAAAAAAAUAUUUCAAUUCACAAAAUUUAAAAAUAUACAUAUAAAUUUUAAUUUUAAUAUUUGAUUGGGUUCACCUAAAUAUUAUACUUGAUAUAUAAUUAUUAAGAGCUAAGCGUAUCAUUAAUCUAUUUACUUUCGUAUAAUAAAUAGAUAUAGCAAUAACUCUUAAAAAAUGAGAAAUAAAAACGAAAUGAGAUAUACUAAUAAUAAUCACUAAAGAUUUUCUAGAACUAGUUUAAAUUUCUUGUUAUCAAUCGUGUUAGUUUUUUUGCUUGCAUAAAUUUCAUUUUUACUUCGAUCAUCAUUCACUUCAAUAUAUAGAAUAAUGUUUCUAGAAUUAUUUAUUCUUGAUAAAUUAAUUGUUAGAAUGAAUUACACAUUUUAUCUUAGUCGUCUUAUACAAAGUAUCACCUAUUUUUUUUAUUUGUCAAGUUACUUUUUAAGAUUUUUUAUUUAUUUCAGUCUACUAUAUAUUAUUAAUUUAUCACACUUUAUUUAUUUUCAAGUUAUUAUAGAGUCAAAAUAAAGAUUGGAAAAUAAUUAAUUCAUGAUACUUUUUAUAUAAAAAGUAGGCAUAUAUUAUAAGCAUAAUGAAUAGAAAAAAAUAUUAAGAAUUAAUUAUUAAGUAAUAGUAAAGUAGCAGUAAUUAUAAAUAGAUAUAACAAUCUCACAAAAGAAAAGAAGUGAAGUGAUAACAAAAUAAGUUAAUGGUAAUAAUAAUACUUAAAAUAUUCUAGAACUAUUAUUUUUUUUUUUUUUUGUUAUCAUUCUUCAUAGAUUUUUUUUGUUAGCCAUGUGAAUUAUAUUUUGCCUGUAACGACCUGUUUAGUCGUUUGGAGCAGCAGAGUUAAUUUCCUGAAAAUCACUCGUUGGGUCGAUCGGAUCCACGACGAAACCGUUUCAAAAAAUGGGCCCAAAAAAAAAACGAACCGGACGUCGAGGGUGUCUCGUGCCAAAACACUUAGAAUUUAGAAAUUUGGUACUGAGAUCGACCUCUGAACUUCACGACGAAAUGGAGGACGGAACCGUUGAGGGGCUCGACGGACGUCAAAAUCCUUACCGCAGAAUUAACUCUCUGAACCUUGUGCACGGAACGUGCGGACGGACCGUCAAGUUGUGACGGACCGUCACAGGCUGCGUGACCUGACUGGUCCGGAUUUUCUGUUAAUAUUUUAGGGCGCGAUUUUGGACUAUUCUACUUUUAUACACUUAUCAAGUUUAGUGGUUUAAUGGUUAAUAAUUUAAUUACUUGGGGUUUAAAGAGAGAACCUUGGAACAAAUAGUGGGAUAUUUUAUCAUCUUUUUAUACUUAAUUUAUAUGCUAAUUGGUAAAAGAAAGAGGGUUUGAAUAAAAAAGAAAAAAGAGCAGAGAGAGGGGAGAACGAUCGAUUGAGAGAGAAGAAGAACGCAGCUUUGGGAAAGUAGAUUGCUUGAUCACAAUCCUUCGGUGGAGGUAGGUUAAUGGUUUACUUGCUAUUCGUAGUAAACCUUAAUUAGCGAAUGAUAUGUUUUGGGUAUGUUGUAAACCCUUUAUAUGCUUAUUGUAUGCUUUGCAGAAGUGAUUAUUAUUGUGAUAAAUAAGCAUGAUGAAGCCUUUGAUCCUAAAUCUUGAAAAUCCUAAUCUACUUUGUUAAUGAUGAUGCUUUGGUAUAAAGAAGGCUUGAUGAACGAAAGUAGUAAAGAUUAGGGGAUCGGAGUGUCACGUUCCGACACCCAGGAUAGUAUAUGCGAUCGGGUUGCCAACGUUCCGGUACCAGGAUAGUAUAAUGAGGAUCGGAGUGUCACGUCGACACCAGGAUAGUAUAAGUGGAUCGGGUGCCACGUUCCGGUCCAGGAUAGUAAUAAUGAGGAUCGGAGUGCCACGUUCCGGUACAAGGAUAUUAUAUGAGGUCGGAUGUCACGUUCCCGACACCAGGAUAGUAUAGUGGAUUCGGGUGCCACGUUCCGGUACCAGGAUCAGUAUGGAUGAAGGAUCGGAGUGUCACGUUCGACACCAGGAAUAGUAUAUGGAUCGGGGUGCUCAGUACCAGACACGAGAGAAAUAAAGAAUAAUGAUCUUGAAAGAUGUUUAAUUAACUCAAUUUAAAUGAACGCUAAUUCCAAAUGAGUAUAGAGGGGAGGCAGUGAGUCCUCAUUGAUUGUGGCUUGGUGUUGUUGACCAAGAGUUAUGAUAAUUAUAAAUGCGCAUGUUGAGUAUUGUAGUUGAUUUUAGAUAUAUCUGAUAUAUAUCUGUUUUCUAUUUUUGAGUUGGCCGAUGAUAUCUACUCAGUCUCGUAGUUUUUGUACUGACGCCCUACUUGUAAUUGUUUUUGUCUUUGUUAUUUGUGGAGUGCAGCAAACGUACGUCGUCUUCAAUCAACGCAAACUCUAAGCCCGUCUUCAAUUACAACCGGAUUUCAGGGUGAGCUAACGUUCCUAGCUUGGACUGGAUCUUUUCUUCAUGUCUUGAUGCCUUGAAGUUCCGGAAUGGACUAGUUUUUUUAUUUAUUCUAUAGCUUUUCUAAAUACUCUUAGAAUUCAGUAAUUUGAGGAUAGACUUGUUCUUGUGAUGAUGACUUCCAGAUUUUGGGAAUAAUAAGUAUUAGAGUUUUUAGACGUUUAUUACAUUCAACAAGAUUAUAUACAUAUAUAAGAAGAUUUAGUCUUUCCGCAUUAUAAUUCUGUUUAUUAUGGUUCAAAUGUUGGGGUUUAGAUUGGUUGGUUUCGCUCACAUAGGGGGUAGUGUGGGUGCCACUCGGGUCCCGCUUUGGUCGUGACAUUUGCCCUUGAUCUAUUAUUCACUUUACAUAUAUAGAAGAUGUUUCUAGUAUUAUAUCAAUUAUCUUUGCUUAUAGAUUUUUGUUAGCGUGUGAAAUUAAUUUUGGACCUUAAUCGUCCUCCACUUCACUCUUCUAUAUAAUUGAAUAGAAAUAACAUUAUAUAAAAUAAAUAUUUAUAAAUGUUAUAAGUUUUCUAUAUCCUUUUUUUAUAGUGAUUAAUUAACAAAUAGGUAAAUCGGAUAUGUUCGGGUAAAAUAAAUAUAUAUGAGAAUGUAUUUAUUGUGAUAUAUGGCAAUUCAUCAAUAGUCAGUCUCUAAUAAUUUAUAUAUUAGUAGUGAAGUAUAUGUUAAAUUUUAAAACGAGGAUUUUACAUAAGUGGAGAAGACUUCUUUUCUUUUUUAUUUUCUCACGAGAUUUUACAUUUUAAAAUUAGUUUAUAACUUAACAUUAAAUUACUUUAUAUGUAUUUUACUUAUUCAAACUCUCACUAUCAAUAUUGUACAUUUGUUUAUUUUUGGUCUUCAUAUUAACCCUAGUAUAGCCUUGCUAAACUAAAUUUUGAAAAUUAUUAUAGUAAGGUGUUUGUUUCCUCACCUCAUAUAUUUACAUCAUAUGCAUAAAAAUUAUGUUAAAUGAAUCAACAAUAUUUUUUUUAUUUAUUUUUAAGAGAGCUAGUUAUUUGGGGCCGCUAAAGCCUACUUCAAAAUUAGGCAAAUCAAAAGAAGGAAGUGUACUAUCAACAAGUAAAAAUGUCAACCUACUCUAAAAAGUUUGGACAAUUUUUAAAGAUAACUGAAAUACUAGAGACAUUAGUAAAUAUUGCGUGAAUCACUUAAUAAAUCGAAAAACAUAAUAUUUUGGAGAUAGUUUUACUAAAAUAUUUUUAACAAUAAACUUGAAUGUUGUACAUAUUUAUUGAAUUGUGGGUAUAGAGACAAUUUUUAGCUUUUUUUCUGAUUUAACAAUAUAUUAAUCGCGAAAGAAGUCAUGUGUUCUUAAUAAAUAAUCGCUAAUGGCAAUUAUUUGCUGCUAAAAAUUCUUCCUCUAAUAAACUUAUUUACACUUUUAGCGUUUAAGACGCAAUGUCCAUCUUAAACUAAUAAUAUUUGGGAAAAAAAAAGGAGGAAAUAAAUUAAACUCAAUUGGGGGAUAACAAUUUUCUUUUAAUUAGUAUGUUAUAUAUACAUUAUUUCAAUUAUACUUUCGAGUUUUUGAUAUACGAAAAUAUAAUGUCAAACUUUAAGAGCAAGAAUUUACAAAAUGAGAACGACUUUUUUUUAAAAUAUAAUGUCCAAACUUUAAAUGACAAGAUUUACAAACCAUGAGACCGACCUUUUUUUUUAUUAUAACGUUUUUUUAUAUAUUAUAUAUAUACAUACACACACACAUCUAUAUCCAUAAUAUCAUUGACUCUUAUUAUAGAUAGGAAAGAGGUUUAAAAUAUAUCAUUGAAACUUUCGAAAAAAACUCAUGUUAUUCAUCAGUUUAAAAGUUUGGUCUCAUUUAUGCCAUUAACCUGUUUAAAAAGAUUCAUUUCUUGCCAUUAUUUUUUAUAAUGGUUUUCGCAAAACCAUUUUUAAUACGUGACCAAUUUAACUCGGCUACGUCCUCCCAUUUAUUUAAUUAAAAAUCAUCAUUCUAAAAAAAAUUGCAUUCAUUUUUUUUUUGAUUUUUUUAUUAAUAUUUGAUGAAUGGCAAUUGAAUUCAGUGGAUUUUCUUAAUUUGGGCGGGUCUUUUAUUUGAGUGGGGUUUUAUUUAUGUUUUUCUUCAGAAUUGAUAUCAAAAAAAAAUAAAAAAUGAUGUGGCCGAAUCAUAACUUUGUCACGUGGUGAAAAGGGUUGGGCCAAAUCGCGCCGUUAAAAACUAAUGGCAGAAAUGAGUCUUUUUCCUAAAUGGUAAUAACAUGAACGAGUUCAAACUUUUAACGGAUCACAUAAUGAAGAUCUUUUCUAAAAGUUCAACCGGCAUAUUUGAGCUUUUUCCCUUAUUUAAAAAAAGUGCUUACAUAACACUCAUUUAUUACAUAAAUAUUUCUAAAAUAUACCAUUUUUUCUAACGGGAGUGAAAAAAAUAUUUUUUUAAACAUAAUUUUUUCAUUUUUUUAAGAAAGUAAAAUCUUGAAUAUAUUAUCUUCCACUUUCUAGAAAUAUUUAUGCCUACAAGAUUUUUUUUUAUUUUUAAAAUUAAAAUUAAUAUUUUCACUUCCAUUAGAUUGAUGAAGAUAUAUCUGAAUCACUUUUUAUAAAAUGGUAAGGAUAUGUAUGAACUCUUAUUUAAUCAAAAUGUGAAUUAUUUUUAUAAUGAGCGAUAUAAAAAUUUUAAUUGCAAAGUUAUGAAGACUUUUUAUUUAGGGAAAAGGGUCUGAUAUACCCCUCAACUUUCAUUUAGAGCUGAUAUGGCCCUUGUGUGAAAGUGGCAUCAUAUAUACAUUAGCUUGUAAAACAAAUGGCUCACAUAUACCCUUUCCUCUAACGGAAAUGGAAAAAAUAAUCUUUACUAAUUUUUUAAUAAUUUUUUUGUCUAAAAAUUAUAUCCCAUAUGAGUAAAUUUAAUCCGUCGUAAAACAUAUUUUUUUUAAACCUUUUUUUAGUUUCAAAUGACUAUUUAUAAUUAUUAUUUUGGAUAAUCAAAUUUAUUUAUGUUUCACUAAUAUUCUUGUAAAGACUUAUUGUUAGAUGAACCAAUUUUUUCUUCGAUACCGAAUUAAAAUUACAAUACAGCACAAAAAAUAGUUUAAAUUUUUUCUCUUUAAACUAAGGAAUUGGAACAGAAAACAUAAGAAUAGAAAACUCAAAUAAUUAUAAUAAAAAAGUCAAAAAAUAAUUUAUAUAAUGAACAAAUAAAUAUCGCUGAACUUUUGAUAGAAGAAUCAUAUAUAUCCCUAAAUAAUUUUUUUAAAAAAUUAAGUAAUAAAUAUGCCAAUUUAAACUAAUUUUUUUAACUUCCGUUAAAUGAAGUGGUAUAUAUGAAGCCAUUUUGUAACGUGGAGGGGUAUAUGUGAGCGCAGCCGUUUGUAUACACGGUAAGGGCAAUAUAUGAAGCACUUUUAUAACGGGGGCGUAUUAUUAGCUCAAUAAACAAAGUUGAGGAGUAAUAUCAGACCUUUUUCUUUUAUUUAUUGUAUAAAAGCUUUCAUAUACUAGUUACAUAUUUAAAUAUUGAAAAUGUUGAUAAGAGAUACCCAUUAAAUGCUAAAGUAAUUGGUAUUGUUAAAAAAUUUCCUUUUAUUUUAUUGUAAUAUAUCUAACAUCCUCGUACUUCACUAACUAAGAAUAAAACUAAGAAUCAAGAAUAAUCAUUUUUUUUGGAAAUAAAUAGGAAAUUCCUGAAAAAUUUACCAGUUGUAAAAAGUGAGUUUUUGGUCAAUCUUCAAACGACCAUAACUCCCAGCUUAGGAGGACGUUUAGGUGUGAGUUCCUUAUUGGUUGGAAAUCCCUUGGAAAGAAAUUUCCAAACGCCAAGUUUGUACAUUUUAAGAUGUGCGUAUGAAGGAGAUAUGAUUUCGAAAGUUUUGGUUUGUUGGAGUGAGGAAAAUUCAAUCCGGAUUUAGUAGGAUAAAGUAGUCUUUUCACUCUAUAUUUCUAAUUCGUUUUUAAAGGGUUUUAUUAGGGGUAAAUCAAGUCCAUAUUCAGUUUUGAAACAGUUGAGAACGCUCAUGGCUUGGGAGAAAAGAGAGAGACCAAAUUUCUUCAAAGAAGCUCAGGUUUCGCUAGAGGAAUUCAUCGGGGGUGAUCUCUAUUCGAGGUAUAAUGAGUAUCUUUCUUAUGUUGGUCGUUCACCCCACACACCACUGUUUUAUUUAGACAAUUUUUGUAUUGAUUGAAUAAUGAAUCUUGAAGUUCUUGAUGAGCCAAUUGUUGAUCCUUAUUGGUAGAGUUGUAAGUGUCUUUAGUUGGUGUUGUUCGUAUUUUCAGGCUGUUUUACGAGUCUAACUAUUGGGUAAUGAGUUAGUAUUAGUGAUUGAUACGCUCAAACUUACUUUUUAAAUAAGAAGUAAGCAGUAAAUGGGGUUUCUAUCUCCUAAAUAAAUGAAAAUACUAAAGCGAAAUUAAGGGGACAACUAACCUUCGAUGUUGGAGUUUAAUCACUUAAUCAAAGUAACUAGGGUUUACGUGUUUCCCCCCACAGGUUUCAUAACUUGAUAAUUCUAAAUAUAACAUUCUUUUCUUUUCUUGUAUCUUGCAUUUGCAAGUGAUAAGUUAUGUAUUUCUAAAUCCUUGGUCGCGGCAUCUAGAAAAUUUUCACUCGGCAACCGGUUGGUCCGACUACGUGUGGUUUUCGCUAUAAUAACCCUUAUUAUUUACCUCAUAUUAAGCAUCCGUAUUCGUAUUUGACUAAGUUAUUACCCCGUACCAAUAAUAUCAGCCCUAUUACGAUAGUAUACACUAAAUUUAUUAUUGGAUAAUUUUUCUAUUUCUUCUCUCUUGGUCCGACAAGUAGCAUUAAAGCGCGAGUUCCUAACGUUGGCCAUCCGUUAAAGACUUCCAAGCGAAAGAAUUAUCAAUACAUGCAAGACACUAUUCUAGAAUUGUUAUUUUUACGUUGAUUUUACUCAUUAUUCGCCUAUGGUUCCCAACUACCCUAAUUAUGGAGUUUAGUUACCAUAAUCAUAAUCAAAUAAUUCCAAAUAUAUGAUAUAAGAAUUCAUGCACUUACUUCAAUGAGAAAGAGUUAAAGAUCAAAAGUUACGCUUGUUAUCACAAUCAAUUACAAGAAUAUAAAUAUCAGAAUCUCACAAAAAGUCCUAAAAAAUAAUCAAAGAGUCUAACAAUAAUCAAGGGCUAUACCAAUAAUCCAGAGUCUACCUCAAAAACGAGGUUUUUUCAAACUAUUUAUAAAUAAAACUAAUUACAUAAGGACUCUAUUUUGCUGGAAAUCUGUCAAACGCGGCUGGGUUCAACGGACCUCGGCGACGGAGCGUCGUGGUCACGACGGCUCCGUCAUGGAACGACGGACCGUCAGUGGAUCCGUCGUCCGCAUACCUUGAUGCAAUUUCUUAUGCUGCUCUCGCUCUUCAUUACCCUCGACGCAAGGUUGAUGGAUCGUUACAGGCACAACGAUCCGUCGAGGGUCUCCGUUCAAAACACUUGAACUCUUGGACAUAUGGGUACUGGGACUACUUCUCUGAACUUAUGCGAUGACUGCAGGACGGACCGUCAUGGAUACGACGGUGUCACGCAUUUUGUUAAACCCCACCCUUGGUCAGACUUCCCAUUUUUCGCUUCAGGCAGUGCUACGUUGGCCACCUACGGACCGUCACGAGCAUGACGGACCCGUCACAUAGGCAUGACGGAACGUCACAAGCAUGACUGGACCGUCACAGCAUGAGGACGGUCACAAGCUCCGUAGGUGGUCUCUUCUGCUAUUCUUUGCUCAAAACCUCCGCAUUCAAUUUUUGGCUAGAUUUCCUGAAAUAAGGAGAAACUUAUAUAAACAUUAGCAGCAAAAAGAAUUUUUUGGACAGCACUAACUUAAGGAAAAAAUAUUAAAUAAUACGUGAACCAUAGUAUAUCAGUGAUGCCUAAAGUUGUUUGGGAUAAAUCAUGAAUGUUUUGCAGGUUUAGGUUGAAAAUGCGGAGAAGAAAAGUCAGAAAACUCGUUGACAGGUCUUGUGGCAAUUCCGUGCUACAAGAGCCCUCAGGACAGACUCUUUCUGUCAGGCUCUGGCGCGCCGCCGUGCAGCUAGAGCGGCCUGAAGACAGUGUCUGUCGUCAGGCUCUGGUGCCCCGCGCCUCUCAGAGCGCAAGGGUCAGCCUGGUGAUUCCUUAUUCUCUCUCACCAUCUUUUCGUACGAGUUCCUAAGUGACGGUUCUAUUAUUUCUAGUUCGUUCCAAUAACUCUAAGUAAAUAUAAAACAUUAUGAAAUCAAUCCUAUAAUGAAUCAGGAUCGUGAAUUUUUGCAUAAUCCAAUCAAGGGAAGUUAAGAUCAAGUCAAAAAAGUUUAAGAGUCAAGUUAAAAGUUAUAAAAAACAGUUCAAAGUAGUUCCUAAAGCAUUCAAGAGUUUUAACAAACAUUUUACUUUGUUUUAAGGAUUCAAGCAUGAGUUGAGCAAAAGAGUAAAAGAGUUGAGUUAAAUUUUCAAAAGCUAUAAGGGAACUAGUAUUCCCUAAGAGUUAGUUUUCAAGUUAAAGCAAAUAGUAACAAGUUCGAGGUUCAGCUUCUCAAGAGUAGAAGGGAACUAAGUAGUCUCUUAACAGUUUAACAAGAAUGUUUUUCAACUUUUGAGAAGAAAGGAAGCUAAGACUUCCACAGAGCCUAUGAAUGUUUUAGUUAAAAGAAAAAGGAAACUAUGAUUUCUAAGAAAGUUUUUGAAGCAAAGUUUGAGAAAUUCAUCUCAAACUAGCAGAAGCAAGUUGUUUUAAAAAAACAUAUGAGCUAAGUAUUUUGGGAGUAGUAUUGAGCACGAUAUGGUGAGCGCGAGUUCAUAUUAACGUCAAGUCUCCAUAAACCAUUGAGCAACAUGGGAUAUAAAAGAUAUACUUUUAGAUGAUUCGCUUAGUAUUUUAGCAUAGAUAGUGUGAUCCUCUUAGUAGUUUCAAGGUUCUAUACGACGACAAGGUAUAGAGUGGUCCUCUUGCAACAUGAGGUAAUACGUUUGUAACCAUCACUUAGCUCAUACGAUGGUUGUCCGUUAGAUAAAUCUCUCAAAGAAAUUAUAAUACUUUCAAAUUAUAUGAGUAAAGUUGAGUUUUUUAUUGAUUUAUCUUUAAUGACUAAGUGUUUACCUGUUUUUUCAAGCUUUUCUUUUAAUAUCGCCAUGUGAUCCUAUACUGGCUUUAUAUUGAGUCGUUAUUAAUUGAAGUUGAGCAGGAACCAGGUAAGUUGCUUCCUUACUCCUUUCAAGCCUUAUAGUAGUGUUUAGGUAUUGCCAUUACGCAUACAUCGUUUGGCUGCAUGCAUAGUCUUUAAUGCCAGAAGCAGGGUAAUUAGGAUCAACAUGCAGCACUCUUGUUGAACCAGUUUGAGGCUCUAGAGUCAAGUGGUCGAGCCUCAUGCAUUCGGAGGAUCCUUUUUAUUGCUAUCUAGUUAGUUCAAUAGAUGUUGUGGGGUUUGUCCCAACAUUCAUCUCAGUCAGUUAGAGGGUUUCAUAUGACGGAUAGUAGUAGUUAGUUGUUCUCUUUUAUUUCAGAUUCUAUUAUUUGAGACUUAGUGCAAAUUUUGGCCAAGGACAGUAUUUAAAGUCAUUUUUAUGAGAGUUCUUGCAUUCUAUAGACUGAAUUAAGUUGAGUCUUCUGUGAGUUAAGUAGUCAGACCACGAGUUCCCUUGAGGGCGCAGCAUGGUCACCAGUGCUAGUCCAACCCAGGGUAUAAAUGCUCGGAGCAUGCUAAUAUAUGCAUUUUUCAUAUACGACUUACGUAUUCAGAUACUUUUAACAUUUUGUUUAGAGCAGAAGAGUCUUAACUUAUUAUGCUAGGUGAAGUAUUGAUAUAUUGGGAUAUUGGUACUUAUUAUUAUGUUUACUUUAAUCUUAUUUAUAAGUUACAACACACGUAAGCACACACAAGGUGCUCAACAUGUGUGCUUGAAGUAAAAUUAAUUUUGAAUGAGGUUUAAUUUGGUCUUUUAUAUAAUACUCAAUGAUUUUCGCUUUUUUACCAACUUUUAAAACACACUUGUAAAAAUGCAAAAUUGCUUUUAUGGACAUCAAAUGACCAAAAACCGCGCGAGUAUCCUUUAACCUCAUUGUAUAUGUUAUAGAACAUUGCAAUUGGUUGAAACUGAACUUUAAAUGUAAGUUGCAAUUUAUUAUUUUUCUUCUUGUCUAAAACUGCCCUAUGCGGCUUAAGCUUUAUUUUUAUCAACUAUUUGUUUAUUAGUGGAGAAAUAGCUCUUUAGAUGAGUCCUUUUAAGCGGUACCGCGAGCUAGGAUAUUAAUAUAUGUCUUUUCGUUUUAUUUUAUGUCAUUUGUUACUAAAAAUAGGUAAUAUUAAUAUUUAUCAUUUCACAAGUAAUGGUAAUCAUUAUAUAGUAAUGAAAUCGACGUCUCUGAACUCUGUGACGGACGUCAGGUACGACGAACGUCGUGAGCCCGUUUCAAAACACUUCAACUCUUGAGAAUUUUGGUACAGGGAACGAUUCUCCUGAAACGUCAUGACGGAGGUGCAGGACGGACCGUCGAGGUCGAUGGCCGUCACAGAUCCUUAAGUGAAUCGAAGUCCUUUGACGAACCUGCAUGACGGCCGUCGCAGGCACGACGGGCCCGUGCGCAGGUUGGCAUCAGUCUAAGGUCAGAUUUCUUUACACAUUUUAAGGGACGUUUUUGACUAUUCCUUCUUUAAUUUAAAGUUAGUGGUUAAUGUUAAUUAAGUUAAUUACUUGGGUUGGUUAAAGGGUUAAACCUCAAGUUUAAAUUAGUGGGUUAUUAUUGCAUCUUUCAUUCUUAAUUAUAUACUAAUUGGUAAAAGAAAGGGGUUUUGAAUAAAGAAAAUAGAAGAACACAUAAGAGGAGGGGAGAUAUCGAACGAGAAGGGAUAAAAGAAGAGGAGAACACAAAGCUUGGGAAAUUGGCUUGCUUGGAUUUCUUGUUUCGGUGGAGGUAGGUUUUGGUUUUCAUGGCCUAUUCGUAGUAAACUUUAAUAGCGAAUGAUUGUGUUAGUAGUAUUGUAAACCCUUCUAAUUGCUUAAUUGUAAUGCUUGCCAUGAAUGAUGUGAUUAUCGGAAUUAUUGAAUAAAUAAGCAUGAUGAAGUUAUGGAAUCCGCAAUCUUGAAAAGAACCCUAAUUACUUUGUUAUGAUGAUGCCUGGUAAUAAAAGAAGGCUUGAUGAAGCGAAAGGGGUGAGAACAUAAAUCAAAUGGAGUGAGCUCAAAUUUAGUGAAUUUUUUUUUAAAAAAUAUUUUGUUGUUUAACAAUUUUUAAAAUGAAAAUGCUAAACCUUUUUCACAAUUAUGUUUUAUAGUUUUUUUAUCAAUAUCUAGUCGAUGAUAACCAUAAUUUUAAUAUAAAUAAUAUAAUAAGGUAACUUAAUUCUGAAAUUCAAGUAUUGAUAUUUUUGAGAAAAUAUUUAUUUAUAAAUUGUAAAACAUUCAUAAUCUAAUAUUUAAUAUGUUUCUUACUCUCAACGAAUGACACUAAUUCAUCAUGAUUCAAAAUUGUAAGAAGUAAAAAUCAAUACUAAAAAGUGCAACUCAUUAUUAUAUGAAGUUUAAUAUGUAGUUUAUCUAUUGUCGAAAGUUUUCCAAGUAUAUGAUAUAUAAUUCUAUGAUAAAUUAAUUUUUGAUCCCAUAUAUUUAUACUAUUUUCAAAUUUAUCCCGUUAAUUGAUUAUAUAUUUUCUUAAACUACAAUUACGCGAUCAUUAUUUAUCAAUUCUACUUUAUCAACUUUAUAUUCUUCUUUUUAUAUCUUUAGAAUUGUGCUAUUUUUGUUUUCUUAUUUAAGUUACAAUUUUAAAGAUAAAAUAAAUAUUUUUGGAGAUAAAAUAAGUUAAAUAAAAAACUAUAUGAAUACUUAUGUUGAAAAAAAAUAUAUAUAAUUAAAAAAUUGUCCUAUUUUUAUUUUCUUAUUUAAGUCACAAUUUUUAAAGAUAAGAUAAAUAUUAUUUUGAGAUAAAAUAAGUUAAAUAAAACUAUAUGAAUACUUUUGUUUAGAAACAUUAUAUAUAAUUAAAAAAAUUACAUAUAUGAAAGAUUUUAUAAAUUAUACUGGUUAUGUUGUAGUAGUAAUAAACAUAGAUGAACAAUUUGUAUUGUCAAGAGUAUAAAAAUAAAAAUAUUUUUCACAUUAUUAUUAUAUCAAACAAAUACAAAUUGAUUUUCAAAAAGAAUAAUAAAAUGUAUUUGUGGGUCACACAUGAAACAAAAAUAUGUGAUUCUUGAAAAAAAAAUAAUAGAUUCUUCUAGAAAACUAUUUUGACAAUUAAUUAUACAAUUAUAAAUUUAAAACUUAACCCAUAAAAAUAAUUAAAAUUACAAAAUUGUCAUUGAUUGGCCUCAUCAUGACUCUUAUGUAUAAUAGAAACUAGAUAAUUGAAGGCCCGUUCAUGGGCUCAAUAUAAUUAAUUAUUUUUUUCAAUUUUAAGUUAAAAAAAUUAUCCAAAUUAAUAUCUUAUUUUAUCAUAGUUUCUAAAAUUUUCUACUAUUUAAACAAUUACAAAAAUGUCCUCUAAGAUACAUUCUUAUCCUCUGUCGGACACAUCAGUAUCUCCUCUCGAAUACAUUCCUAUCAUUUCUUGAAUACAUCUUUAUCUCAUCCUGAAACAUCCAUAUCCUCUCUGGGAUACAUCUCUCCCCUUUCGGAUACAUUCAUUCUCUCUCGAAUACAUCCCUACCUUCUCGAAAUCAUCGUGAGCUCUAUGUCUGCAAGUUUCCUCAAUAGCAAUGUAUCACGAUCGAUGUAUCCGCAUGUGUUGAUUUAUCUGAAAUUAUUUAAUUUUAAAAAGAUUUCGUAAUUUGAAAAAAGUAGGAAUAUAAUGUAAUUAACUCUUUACUCUAUGACAUAUUUUUCUUUGUAGUCAGUUUCAAAAGAAUGAUGUAUAACAUAUUUAAAUAACAUUUUGACUUUAAAAUAUUCAUUCUAUUCUUAGUAAUAUUAUUUAUAGUCAUAUGAACAUCUAUGGUUUGUUUUAGACCAUGAGUUUUAGAAGUGUUUUUUCUUUUAAAAAUUUUCGUGUUAAGUUAAAUUAAAAUUCCAUAAACCGAAAGGGAGUGAGUACAAACUUUAGAUCAAUUUUAUAUUUAUAAAAUUAAAGUUUUUGUAACUAUUUUGUCUUUUAACAAAAUUUAAAAUGAAAUAAUUCACAAUUAUUUUUAUAGUAUUUUUUUAAAAUCAAUAUUCUAUCAAUAAUAAUAAAUUUUUUUUAAUUUAAAUAAGAUAAUAAAGUAUUUUAAUUUUGAAAUUCAUGUAUUGAUAUCAAUUGAGAAAAUAUUUAAUUUUAAGUUGUAAAACAUUCAUAAUCUAAUAUUUAAUGUGCUCCUUACUCUCGAUGAAUGACACUAAUUUAUAAUAAUUCAAGAUUGCAAGAAGUAGAAAUCGAGACUAAAACGUGCAACUCACUAUUAUAUGAAGGUCACUAUGUAAUUUAUCUAUUGUGGAAGUCUCAUUAGUAUAUGAUAGAUAAUUCUAUGCCAAAUUAAUUUUUGUUUUCAUAUAUUUAUACAAUUUCAAAAUUUAUCCCGUUAAUUGGUUAUGUAUUUUAUUAAACUACAACUGCACUCAUUAUUUCAUCUUUUUUUUUUAUUCUUACAUUAUCAACUCUAUUUUUUUAUCUCUUUAGAAUUGUGAUACUUUUGUUUUCUUAUUUAAAUCACAAUGUUUUAAAGAUAAAACAAAUUUUAUUUUGGAGAUUAAAUAAAUAUUAUUUUGAAGAUAAAAUAAAAAAAAGAUUUACUAACCUACAACCAGGAAGAUCCACUUUGAAACCCAGCGACGAAGAAAACUUUGAAACUCUUAGCCGCGAAAUGAGGGUGAAAGAGUAAAAUCAUUUCUGGAAAAUAAUGAAACGAGGGGGAAAAAAGCGUAAUAAAGAUUUAAGGAAUUAGUCUAUGUGGUAGUGGACCCUAUUGACAUGCAAUAUGGAAUUCACAUAGCAUUUAACAACUUCUCUUAAUUAGAAGGGCAAUUUUGACCCAAUAGUUUCACGGAAAGGGUACUUUUGAGCCGAAAUAUACUUUAAGGGUAAAUAUGAGUUAUUUCAGAUAGUUUAAAAGUAUUUUUUACCCUUUUACUUUUAGUCUACGUGGUAGUGGAACCCUAUUGACGUGCAAUGUGAUGGCAUUUAACAACUUCCAUUAAUAAGAAUUGCACUUUUGACACAAUAGUUUGACGGGGAGGAGAGUUUUGAGCGGAAAUAUAAUUUAAGGUAAAUAUGAAAUAUUUCAGAUAGUUUAAGGAUAUCUUUGACCCUUUUAUGUUAAAACUAUAUGAAUACUUAUGUCUAAAAAACAUUGUAUAAAAUUAAAAGGAAAUUAAAUCAUGGAAGAUGGUAGGUUAUACUGAAUAUGUUGUAGUAACAACAAACAUAUAUAAACUAUUAAGUUGUAUAAAUAUUUUUUAUUUAUUAUAAUCAAACAAAUAAAAGUUAAUUUUUAAAAAUUAAAUAAAAUGAUUACAUGGAGUCACCAUGAAACAAAACUUUUUGUGACUCUUGAAAAAGAUUAUUGGAUACUUCUAGAAAAUUAUUUUGACCACUGAUUAUGCAAUUAUAAAGUUGUAAUUUUGCCCAUAAAUAAUGUUUAAAAUUACAAUAUUGUCAUUGGUCAUCCUAAUCAUGACUCUUCUAUAUAAUAGAAAUAAUAAUAACUAGAUAUCAGGUGCCCGUGCUAACGCAAACGCAACGUAUGUUAGAUUUUUCUUCUUCCAAUUUAUGUGACAAAAAUGAAAUUUGAAAAAAAUGAACUAAAUUUUUUAUAUGUGUUUUUUUUAAAAAUAUUUUAAAUUAUUAAUUUAUGUAUCUUUUUUGUCAUUUUCGAAUAAUAUAUGUUACUUUAUCUAUUUUAUUUUAUAUGAUACAAGUGAUUUUAGGAAAGUAAACGAAAUUUCUUAUAUGAUUUUCAUAUAUUUUUAGUUGUCAUUUUACUGCGAUUCAUAGUACUUUUUAGUUAUUACGUUAUUUUCAAACAAUAUAUGCAACUUUUUUUUUGUUUCAAUAAAAAUAAGGGAGUCAACAAAAUUUCAUUAUGUUUUUUCAACUACAUUUUUCUAAAAAUAUUUUAAAUUGUUACAUUGCUUUUUAAAGUUUUUUUAAAUGUAACUUUCAAAUAUGUAACAAAUUAGAAAUUAAAACGAAGAAUUAAAGUUUUCAAAUCAUUAUAUUUCUAUAUUAGAAUAUUAAAACCUUUAAAACUACAUAUAUAUGCAUAAAUUAGUAGAAGGAAGCCUAACAACUUAUUUUUAAAAAAAUAUAUGAGAGCUCAUUUUAAUAGUAAUACAUACAUAUUUCAUUUUUCAAUAUCCGAAUCCCUCCUUUUCGAUUUAUAUAAAUUUAAUUUAAUUUAAUUUUUAUUUUGUUUCAAAAAGAAAAUAACUUCUGAAUUUUAUUUGUUUAUAAAGCAUAUUUAAGAUCACAAAAUCAAAAAAAAAUUUCAAUUCACAAAAUUUAAAUAUACAUAUAAAUUUUAAUUUUAAUUUUGAUUGGUUCCACCUAAUAUUAUACUUGAUAUAUAAUUAUUAAGAGCUAAGCGUAAUCAUUAUCUAUUUACUUUCGUAUAAUAAAUAGAUAUCACAAUAACUCUUAAAAAAUGAAGAAAUAACGAAAAUGAGGUAAUACUAAUAAUAAUCACUAAAGAUUUUCUAGAACUAGUUAAAUUUCUUGUUAUCAAUCGUGUUAGUUUUUUGCUUGCAUAAAUUACAUUUUUACCUUCGAUCAUCAUUCACUUCAUAUAUAGAAAGAUGUUUCUAGAAUUAUUUAUUCUUGAUAAAUUUUUGUUAGAAUGAAAUUACAUUUUAUUCUUAGUCGUCUUUAAUACAAAGUAUCAUCCUAUUCAUUUUUUAUUUGUCAAGUUACUUUUUAAGAUCUUUUUCUUUAAUUUCAGUCUAAUAUAUAUUAUUAAUUUAUCACACUUAUUUAUUUUCAAGUAUAUUAUUAGAGUCAAAAUAAAGAUGAAAAUAAUUAAUUCAUGAUAACUUUUUAUAUAAAAAGUAGGCAUAUAUUAUAAGCAUAAUGAAUAGAAAAAAAUAUUAAGAAUUAAUUUAAAGUAAUAGUAAAGUAGAGUAAUUAUAAAAUAGAUAUCACAAUAACUCACAAAAGAAAAGAAAGUGAAGUGAUAACAAAAUAAGUUAAUGGUAAUAAUAAUAACUUAAAAUAUUUCUAGAACUAUUAUUUUUAUUUUUUUUUGUUAUCAUUCUUCAUAGAUUUUUGUUAGCAUGAAAUUAUAUUUUUGCUGUAACGACCUAUUUAGUCGUUUGGAGCAGCAGAGUUAAUUUCUGAAAAUCACUGUCUGGGUCGACGGAUCCCACGACAGACCGUCAUGGGCACGACGGACCGUCGAGGGUGUCUCGUGCCAAAACACUUAGAAUUUAGAAAUUUGGGUACUGAGAUCGACUCUCUGAACUUCACGACGAAAUGGCAGGACGGACCGUUGAGGGCUCGACGGACCGUCACAAAUCCUUCCGCAGAAUUAACUCUCUGAACCUUGUGACGGACGUGCAGGACGGACCGUCACAGGCUGCGUGACCCUGACUGGGUCGGAUUUCUGUUAAAUAUUUUAAGGGGCGUUUUGGACUAUUCCUACUUAUAAUUAUAAAGUUAGUGGUUUAAUGUUAAUAAUUUAAUUACUUGGGGGUUAAAAGAGAGAACCUUGAAACAAAUAGUGGGAUAUUUUAUCAUCUUUUAUACUUAAUUAUAUGCUAAUUAGGGUAAAAGAAAGAGGGUUUGAAUAAGAAAAAGAAAAAGAACAGAGAGAGAGGGAGAAACGAUCGAUUGAGAGAGAAGAAGAACGCAGCUUUGGGAAAGUAGAUUGCUUGAUCACAAUCCUUCGGUGGAGGUAGGUUAUGGUUUAUGCUAUUCGUAGUAAACUCUUAAUAGCGAAUGAUAUGUAUUGGGUAGUGUUGUAAACCCUUCUAUAUGCUUAAUUGUAUGCUUGCAUGAAUGUGAUUAUAUAAUUGUGAUAAAAUAAGCAUGAUGAAGCUAUUGAAUCCUAAAUCUUGAAAAUCCUAAUCUACUUUGUUAAUGAUGAUGCCUUGGUAUAAAAGAAGGCUUGAUGAACGAAAGUAGUAAGAUUAGGGGAUCGGAGUGUCACGUUCCGACACCAGGAUAGUAUAUGGAUCGGGUGCCACGUUCCGGUACCAGGAUAGUAUAUGAGGAUCGGAGUGUCACGUUCCGACACCAGGAUAGUAUAUGGAUCGGGUGCCACGUUCCGGUACCAGGAUAGUAUAUGAGGAUCGGAGUGCCACGUUCCGGUACAAGGAUAGUAUAUGAGGAUCGGAGUGUCACGUUCCGACACCAGGAUAGUAUAUGGAUCGGGUGCCACGUUCCGGUACCAGGAUAGUAUGAUGAGGAUCGGAGUGUCACGUUCGGACACCAGGAUAGUAUAUGGAUCGGGGUGUCACGUACCGACACGAGAGAAAUAAAGAUAAUGAAUCUUGAAAGAUGUUAAUAUACUCAAUUUAAUGAACCUAAUUCCCAAAUGAGUAUGAUGGGGAGGCGUGAGUCCUCAUUGAUGUGCUUGGUGUUGUGACCAAGAGUUAUGAUAAUUAUAAAUGCCGCAUGUUGAGUAUUGUAGUUGAUUUUAUGAUAUAUAUCAUAUUAUCUGAUAUAUACUAUUUUCUAUUUUGAGUUGGCCGAUGAUAUCUACUCAGUACUCGUGUUUUGUACUGACCCCUACUUGUAAUUGUUUUUCUUUGUUAUUUGUGGAGUGCAGCAAACGUACCGUCGUCUUCAACUCAACCGCAACUCUAGCCAGUCUUCAUUACACCGGAUUUCAGGGUGAGCUAACGCUUCUAGCUUGGACUGGAUCUUCUUCUUCAUGUCUUGAUGCCUUGAAGUUCCGGCAUGGACUAGCUUUUUAUUUAUUCUAGCUUUCUAGAUACUCUUAGAAUUAGUAAUUUAAGGAUAGAUGUUCUUGUGAUGAUGACUUCCAGAUUUUGGGAAUAAUAAGUAUUGAGUUUUUAGAAGUUAUUUAACCGAUUUUCAUUAAUGAGUUUAAGUCUUCCGCAUUAUAUUCUGUUUAUUAUGGUUCAAAUGUUGGGGUUUAGAUUGGUUGGUUCGCUCACAUAGGAGGGUAAGUGUGGGUGCCACUCGCGGCCCGCUUUGGGUCGUGACAUUUGCCCUUGAUUAUUAUUUACUUCAUAUAUAGAAAGAUGUUUCUAGUAUUAUCAAUUAUCUUGCUUAAUAGAUUUUUGUUAGCGUGAAAUUACAUUUUUGCCCUUAAUCGUCCUCCCACUUCACUCUUCUAUAUAAUUGAAUAGAAAUACAUUAUAUAAAAUAAAUAUUUAUAAAUGAUUAUAAGUUUUCUAUAUCCUUUUUAUAGUGAUUAAUUUACAAUAGGUAAAUGGAUAUGUAUGGGUAAUAAAAUAUAUAUGAGAAUAGUAAUUUAAUUGUGAUAUAUGGCAAAUUCAUCAAAUAGUCAGUCUCUAAUAAUUUAUAUAUUAGUAGUGAAGUAUAAUGUUAAAUUUUAAACGAGGAUUUACAUAACGUGAGAAAGACUUCUUUUCUUUUUUAUUUUCUCAAGAGAUUUUUACAUUUUAAAAUUAGUUUAUAACUUAACAUUAAAUUACUUUAUAUGUAUUUUACUUAUUCAAACUCUCACAUAAUUACUUGUACAUUUGUUUAUUUAUGGUCUUCAUAUAUAACCCCUAGUAUAGCCUUGCUAAACUAAAUUUUGAAAAUUAUUACUAGUAAGGUGUUUGUUUCCUCACCUCAUAUAUUUACAUCAUAUGCAUAAAAAUUAUGUAAAAUGAAUAACAUAUUUUUUUAUUUAUUUUUAAAGAGACUAGUUAUUUGGGGCCGCUAAAGCCUACUUCAAAAUUAGCAAAUCAAAAGAAAGGAAGUGUACCUAUCAACCAAGUAAAAAUGUCAACUACUUCUAAAAAGUUUGGACAAUUUUUAAGACUAUGAAAAUAUAGAGACAUAGUAAAAUAUUGCGUGAAUCACUUAAUAAAAUCGAAAACAUAAUAUAUUGGAGAUAGUUUUACUAAAAAUAAUUUUACAAUAAAAUUGAAAUGUGUACAUAUUUAUUGAAUUGUGGGUAUAGAGACAAUUUUUAAGCUUUUUUCUGAUUUACAUAUAUUAAAUCGCGAAAGAAGUCAUGUGUUCUUAAUAAAAUAAUCGCUAAUGGCAAUUAUAUUUGCUGCUAAAAUUCUUCCUCUAAAUAACUUAAUUUACACUUUUAGCGUUUAAGACGCAAUGUCCAUCUUAAACUAAUAAAUAUGAGAAAUAAAUAAACUCAAUUGGGGGAUAACAAUUUCUUAAUUAGUAUGUUAUAUAUACAUUAUUUCAAUUAUACUUUCGAGUUUUGAUAUUACGAAAAUAUAAUGUCAAACUUUAAAGACAAGAAUUUACAAAUGAGAACGACUUUUUUUUAAAAAUAUAAUGUCAAACUUUAAAGACAAGAAUUUACAAACCAUGAGAACGACUUUUUUUUAAUUAUACGUUUUAUUAUAUAUAUAUAUAUAUAUAUACAUACACACACACAUAUAUAUACAUAUAUCAUUGACUCUAUAUAUAUAAGAUAGGAAAGAGGUUAAAAUAUAUCAUUGAACUUUCAGAAAAAAACUCAUUUAUUCAUCAGUUAAAAGUUUGGCUCAUUUAUGCCAUUACCGUUUAAAAAAGAUUCAUUCUUGCCAUUAUUUUUUAAUAAUGGUUUCGCAAAACCAUUUUUAAUACGUGACCAAUUAUAAUUCGGCUACGUCCUCAAUUUAUUUAAUUAAAAAAUCAUCAUUCUAAAAAAAAUUGAAUUCAUUUUUUUUGAUUUUUUUAUUAAAUAAAUUGAUGACAUGGCUAAUUAGAAUUCAGUGGGAUUUCUUAAAUUUGGGCGGGUCUUUAUUUGAGUGGGGUUUUUAUUUAAUGUUUUCUCAGAAUUGAUUUUUUAUCAAAAAAAAAUAAAAAUGAUGUGGCCGAAUCAUAACUUGUCACGUGUGAAAAGUGGUUGGGCAAAAUCGCCGUUAAAAACUAAUGGCAUGAAUGAGUCUUUUCCUAAAUGGUAAUAACAUGAACGAGUCAAACUUUUAACGGAUGACAUAAAUGAGUCUUUUCUAAAAGUUCAACGGCAUAUUUGAGCUUUUUCACUUAUUAAAAAAGUGGCUUACAUACACUCAUAUUAUUACAUAAAUAUUCUAAAAUAUACCAUUUUGUUCUAACGGGAGUGAAAACAAAUAUUUUUUUAAACAUAAUUUUUUAUUUUUAAGAAGUAAAAUCUGAAUAUAUUAUCUUCCACUUUCCUAGAAAAUAUUAUCCUACAAGAUUUUUUAUUUUUAAAAAUUAAAAUUAAUAUUUUCACUUCCAUUAGAUGAUGAAGAUAUACCUGAAUCACUUUUAUAAUGGUAAGGAUAUGUAUGAACUCUUUUAAUUCAAAUGUGAAUUAUUUUAUAAUGAGCGAUAUAACAAUUUUAAAUUGCAAAGUUAUGAAGACCUUUUUAUUUAGGGAAAAGGGUCUGAUAUACCCCUCAACUUUGUCAUUUAGAGCUGAUAUGCCCCUUGUUGUGAAAGUGGCUCAUAUAUACCCUUACUUGUAAACAAAUGGCUCACAUAUACCCUUUUCCUCUAACGGAAAUGGAAAAAAAAAUAAUUUUAAUCUAAUUUUUUAAUAUUUUUUGUCUAAAAAUUAUAAUCCCAUAUGAGUAAAUUUAAUCCUCGUAAAACAUAUUUUUUUAACCUUUUUUAGUUUCAAUGACUAAUUUAUAAUUAUUAUUUUGAUAAUCAAAUUUAUUUAUGUUUCACUAAUAUUCUUGUAAAACUUAUUGUAGAUAACCAAAUUUUUUCUUCGAAUAUGAAAUUAAAUUACAAUACACACAAAAAAUAGUUUAAAUUUUUUCUCUUUAAACUAAGGAUUGAAAGAAAAAACAUAAGAAUAAGAAACUCAAAUAAUUAUAAUAAAAAAAGUCAAAAAAUAAUUUAUAUAUGAAAAAAAUCAAAAUAUACCUUGAACUUUGAUAGAAGAAUCAUAUAUAUCCCUAAAUAAUUUUUUAAAAAAAAUUACAAGUAAUAAAUAUCAAUUUAAAACUAAUUUUUUAACUUCCGUUAAAUGAAGGGUAUAUAUGAGCCAUUUUGUAACGGGAGGGGUAUAUGUGAGCCGUUUGUAUAACGGUAAGGGCAUAUAUGAGCCACUUUUAUAACGGGGGGUAUAUUAGCUCCAAAUAACAAAGUUGAGGGGUAUAUCAGACUCUUUUUCCUUUUAUUUAUUGUAUAAAAGCAUUUCAUAUACUAGUUACAUAUUUAAAUAUUGAAAAUGUUGAUAAGAGAUCCCAUUAAAUGCUAAAGUAUUGGUAUUUUAAAAAAAUUUCCUUUUAUUUAUUGUAUAUAUCUAACAUCUCGUAACUUCAAAUAACUAAGAAUAAACUAAGAAAUCAAGAAUAAUCAUUUUUGGAAAUAAAUAGGAAAUCUGAAAAAUUUCCCAAGUGUAAAAGUGAGUUUUUGGUCAAUUUCAAACGACCAUAACUCCCAGCUUAGGAGGAGUUAGUGUGAGUUCCUUAUAUGGUUGGAAAUCCCUUGGAAAGAAAUUUCCAACAACGCCAAGUUUGUACAUUUUAGAUGUCGUAUGAAGGAGAUAUGACUUUCGAAAGUUUGGUUGUUGGAGUGAGGAAAAUUCAAUCCGGAUUUAGUAAGGAUAAAGUAGUCUUUUCACCCUAGUAUUUUCUAAUUCGUUUUAAGGGUUUAUUAGGGGUAAAAUCAAGUCCAUAUUCAGUUUUGAAAAAGUUGAGAACGCUCAUGGCUUGGGAGAAAAGAGAAGAGAAGAGAAGAGAAAACCAAAAUUUCUUCAAGAACGCUAAGGUUUCGCUAGAGGAAUUCAUCGGGGGUGAUCUCUAUCGAGGUAUAUGAGAUCUUUCUAUGUUGGGUUCGUUCACCCACACACCAACAUGUUUAUUUAGCAAUUUUUGUAUUGAUUGAAUAAUGAAUCUUGAAGUUCUUGAUGAGCAAUUGUUGAAUCCUUAUUGGUAGAGUUGUAGUGUACCUUUAGUUGGUGUUGAUUCGUAUUUUCAGGCUGUUUUACGAGUCUAAACUAUUGGGUAUUGAGUAUAUUAGUGAUUGAUACGCUCAAACUUACUUUUUAAAUAAGAAGUAAAGCAGUAAAUGGGGGUUUCUAUUCCUAAAUAAAUGAAAAUAACUAGCGAAAUUAAAGGAGACAACUAACAACUUCGAAUGUUGGAGUUUAAUCACUUAAUCAAAGUAACUAGGGUUUACGUGUUCCCCACAGGUUCAUAACUUGAUAAUUCUAACUAUAACAAUUCUUUCCUAGUAUCUUGCAUGCAAAGUGAUAAGUUAUGUAUUUCUAAAUCCUUGGUCCGGCAUCUAGAAAAUUUCACUCGGCACCUUGGUCCGACUACGUGUGUUGCUAUACUAACCCUUAUAUUUACCUCAUAUUAAGCAUCGUAUUCGAUAUUUGACUAAGUUAUUACCCCGUACCAAUCAAUACUAGCCUAUUAGAUAGUAUACACUAAAUUUAUAUUGAUAAUUCUUUUCCUAUUAUCUACCUCCUUGGUCCGACAAGUAGCAUUAAGGCGAGUUCUAACGUUGGCCAUCCGUUAAAAAGACUUCCAAGCGAAAGAAUUAUCAAUACAUGCAAGACACUAUUCUAGAAUUGUUAUUUUAGUUAGAUUUUACCUCAUUAUUCGCCUAUGGUUCCCACAACCCUAAUUAUGGAGUUUAGUUACCCAUAAUCAUAAUCACAAUAUUCAAAUAUAUGAUAUAAGAAUUCAUGCACUUACUUCAAUGAGAAAGAGUAAAAUCCAAAAGUUAGCUUGAUUAAUCAACAAUCAAUUACAAGAAUAUCAAAAUAAUCAAGAAUCUCACAAAAAGUCUAAAAAAUAAUCAAGAGUCUAACAAUAAUCAAGGGCCUAACCAAAUAAUCCAGAGUCUAACCUCAAAAACGAGGUUUUUCAAACUAUUUAUAAAAAAUAAAAACCUAAUUACAUAAGGACUCUAUUUGCUGGAAAUCUGUCAAAACGCGGCUGGGUCAACGGACCUCGCGACGCAUCGUCGUGGUCACGACGGACCGUCAUGGACUCCGUCGUCCCAUACUUGAUGCAAUUUCUUAUGCUGCUCUCUUCAUUACUCUCGACAGCAGGUAUGAUGGAUCGUUACAGGCACAACGAUCCGUCGAGGGUCUCCGUUCCAAAACACUUGAACUCUUGGAAUAUGGGUACUGGGACUACUUCUCUGAACUUCAUGACGAACCUGCAGGACGGACCGUCAUGGAUACGACGGUCCGUCACGCAUUUUGUAACCCCACACUUGGUCAGACUUCCCCAUUUUCCUUCAGCAGCUGCACUACGUUGCCACCUACGGACCGUCACGAGCAUGACGGACCGUCACAAGCAUGACGGACCGUCACAAGCAUGACGGACCGUCACAAGCUCCGUAGGUGGUCUCUUCUGCAUUUCUUUGCUCAAAAACCUCCGCAUUCAUCUUUGGAUAGAUUUCCUGCAAAUAAGGAGAAACUUAUAUAAAAAUUAGCACAAAAAGAUUUUGGACACACUAACUUAAGGAAAAAAUAUUAAUAAUACCGUGACACCAUAGUAUAUCAGUGAUCCUAAGUGUUUGGGAAAAAUCCAUGAAUGUUUUGAAGGUUUAGAGUUGAAAAUCGGAGAAGAAAAGUCAGAAAACUCGUCUGACAGGUCUUGUGGCACCGUGCCUACAAGAGCCCCUCAGGACAGACUCUUUCUGUCAGGCUCUGGCGCGCCGCCGUGCCAGCUAGAGCGCCUGAAGACAGUGUCUGUCGGUCAGGCGCUGGUGCCCCGCGCCUCUCAGAGCGCCAGGGUCACCUGGAGAUUCUAUUUCUCUCCCAUCUUUUAGUACGAGUUCCUAAGUGACGUAUCUAUUAUUUCUAGUUAGUUCCAAUACUCUAAAGUAAAUAUAAACAUUAUGAAAUCAUCCAUAAUAAUGAGAUCAGGAUCCGUGAAUGCAUAAUCCAAUUCAAGGGAAGUUAAGAUCAAAGUCAAAAAAAGUUAAGAGUCAAGUCUAAAAGUUAAAAAACAAGUCAAAGUAAGUUCCUAAAGCAUUCAAGAGUCUUAAACAAACAUUUUAACUUUGUUUUAAGGUUCAAGCAAUGAGUUGAGCAAAGAGUAAAAGAGUUGAGUUAAAUUUUCAAAAGCUAUAAGGGAACUAAGUAUUCCCUAAGAGUUAAGUUUCAAGUUAAGCAAAUAGUAACAAGUUGAGUUCACUUCUCAAGAGUUAGAAGGGAACUAAGUAGUCUCUAACAGUUUAAACAAGAUGUUUUUAAACUUUUGAGAAAGAAAGGAAGCUAGACUUCCACAGAGCCUAUGACUAGUUUUAGUAAAAGAAAAAGGAAACUAUGAUUUCUAAGAAAGUUUUUGAAGCAAAGUUUGAGAAAUUAUCUCAAACUAGAGAAGAAGUUGUUUUAAAAAAACAUAUGAGCUAAGUAUUUUGGGAGUAGUAUUGAGCACCGAUAUGGUGACGCGAGUUCAUAUUAACUCAAGUCUCCAUAAACCAUUGAGCCAACAUGGAGAUAUAAAAGAUCAUACUUUUUAGAUGAUUCCUUAGUAAUUUUAGCAUAGACUAGUGAAUCCUCUUAGUAGUUCAGGUUCUAUAUCGACGACAAGGUAUAGAGUGGUCCUCUUGCAACAUGAGGUAAUACGUUGUACCAUCACUUAGGCUCAUAGAUGGUUGUCGGUUAGAUAAUCUCUCAAAGAAAUUAUAAUACUUUCAAAUAUAUGAGUAAAGUUGAGUUUAUUAUUGAUUUAUCUUUAAUGAACUAAGUGUUUACACUGUUUUACAAGCUUUUCUUAUAUCGCAUGUGUCCUUACUGCUUUAUAUUGAGUCGUUAUUUCAUGAGUUGAGCAGAACCAAGGUAAGUUCUUCCUUACUCCUUUCAAGCCUUAUAGUAGUGUUUAGUAUUCCAAUUCGCAUACUCGUUUGGCCUGCAUGCAUCGCCUUAUAAUGCAGAAGCAGGUAAUUAGGAUCAACAUGCAGCACUUUGUUGAACCAGUUUGAGCUCUAGAGUCAGUGGUGAGCCUCCAUGCAUUUCGGAGGAUCCUUUUAUUGCUAUCUAGUUAGUUCAAUAGAAUGUUGUGGGGUUUGUCCCAACAUUCAUCUCAGUCAGUUUAGAGGUUUCAUAGACGGAUAGUAGUAGUUAAGUUGUGUCUCUUUAUUUCAGAUUCUAUAUUUGAGACUUAAGUGCAAAUUUGGCCAAGACAGUAUUUAAAGUCAUUUUUAUGAGAACUUCUUCAAUUCUAUAACUGAAUUAAGUUGAGUCUUCCGCUGAGUUAAGUAAGUCAGACCAAGAGUUCCCUUGAGGCCAGCAAUGGUCACCAAGUGCUAGUCCCACCCAGGGUAUAAGCUCGGAGCAUGCUAAUAUAUGCAUUUCAUAUACGACUUACGUAUUCAGAUACUUUUAACAUUUUGUUAGAGCAGAAGAGUCUUAACUUAUAUAUGUAGGUGAAGUAUUGAUAUAUUGGGAUAUUGGUACUUAUUAUUAUUUUACUUUAAUACUUAUUUAUAAGUCUACAACACACGGUAAGCACACACAAGGUGCUCAACAUGUGUGCUUGAAGUAAAUUUAAUUUUGAAUGAGGUUAAUUUGGUCAUUUUAUAUAAUACUCAAUGUUUCUUUUACUUGUACAAAAUGCAAAAUUGCUUUUAUGGACAUCAAAUGACCAAAAACCCAGUAUCCUUUAACUCAUUGUCAUAUGUUAUAGAACAUUGCAAUUGGUUGAAAAUGAACUUUAAUGUAGUUGCAAUAUAAUUAUUUUUACUUCUUGUCAAAACUGCCCCUAUGCGGCUUAAGCUUAUUUUAUCAACUAUUUGUUAUUACGUGGAGAAAUUAAAGACAUCUUUAGAUGAGUCCUUUUAAGCGGUACCGACCUAGAUAUAUAUAUUCUUUUCGUUUUAUUUAUGUCAUUUUUACUAAAAAUAGGUAAUAUUUAAUAUUUAUCAUUUCACAAAAGUAAUGCAUUAUAUAGUAAUGAAAUCGACUCUCUGAACUCUGUGACGGACCGUCACAGGUACGACGAACCGUCGUGAGCCCCCGUUUCAAAACACUUCAACUCUUGAGAAUUUGGUACAGGGAACGAUUCUCUGAACGUCAUGACGGAGGUGCAGGACGGACCGUCGUAGGUACGAUGGGCUGUCACAGACUCCUUAAGGAAAUCGAGUCUUUGACGAACCUGCAUGACGGACCGUCGCAGGCACGACGGGCCGUCGCAGGUUGCGCAAUCCCAGUCUGGGUCAGAUUUCUUUACACAUUUUAAGGGACGUUUUUGACUAUUCCUUCUUUAAUUAUAAAGUUAGUGGGUUAAUGUUAAUAAGUCUAAUUACUUGGGGGUUAAAAGAGGUAACCUCAAGUUAAUUAGUGGGUUAUUAUUGCCAUCUUUCAUUCUUAAUUAUAUACUAAUUAGGGUAAAAGAAAGAGGGUUUGAAUAAAGAAAAUAGAAAGAACACAAAGAGAGAGAGGGAGAAUCGAACGAGAAGGUGAAAAGAAGAGGAGAAACACAAAGCUUUGGGAAAUUGCUUGCUUGAUUUCUUGUCUUCGGUGGAGGUAGGUUUUGGUUUUCAUGCUAUUCGUAGUAAACUCUUAAUAGCGAAUGAUAUGUGUUAGUAGUAUUGUAAACCCUUCUAUAUGCUUAAUUGUAUGCUUGCAUGAAUGAUGUGAUUAUGGAAUUAUGAAUAAAUAAGCAUGAUGAAGUUAUUGAAUCCCAAAUCUUGAAAAGAAACCUUAAUCUACUUUGUUAAUGAUGAUGCCUUGGUAUAAAAGAAGGCUUGAUGAACGAAAGGGGUGAGAUUAGGGGAUCGAGUGCCACAUUCUGGUACCAGUAUAGAGAUAGAGGAUCGGGUGCCACGUUCCGGUACCAGGAUAGAAUGAGGAUCGAAGUGUCACGUUCCGACACCAGGAUAGUAUAUGGAUCGGGUGCCACGUUCCGGUACCAGGAUAGAAUGAGGAUCGGAGUGUCACGUUCCGACACCAGGAUAGUAUAUGGAUCGGGUGCCACGUUCCGGUACCAGGAUAGAAUGAGGAUCGGAGUGUCACGUUCCGACACCAGGAUAGUAUAUGGAUCGGAGUGUCACGUACCGACACGAGGGGAAUAAAUAUAAUGAAUCUUGUAAGAUGCUAAUAUACUCAAUUUAAUGAAACUAAUUCCCAAAUGAGUAUGAUAUUGAGGCUUGAGUCCUCACGUGUGAACUUGACGGUAUUUGUUAAUGAUAUAGUACUUGUUGUUGCUACAUGUUGAGUAUCAUAGUUGAUUUUAUGAUAUUGCUUAAUAUAUAUUGUUUUCUAAUUUCGAGUUGACCGAUGAUAUCUACUCAGUACCCGUGUUUUGUACUGACCCCUACUUUUGUGUUUUCUUCUUUGUUAUUUGUGGAGUGCAGCAAACAUGCCGUCGUCUUCGACUCAACAGUAUUCAAGCCAGUCUUUACUACACCGGAAAUUCAGGGUGAGCUAAUGCUUCUAGCUUGGACUGGAUCUUCUUCUUCAAGUCUUGAUGCCUUGAACUUCCGGCAUGGACUAGCUUCUUAUGUAUUUUUAGCUUCUUAGACAUUUUUAGUUAGUAAUUUGAUCAUAGAUGUUCUUGUGAUGAUGACUUCCAGAUUUUGGGGAAUAAUAGUUAUUGAAUUGGUUUUUAUUUAAUGAGCUUAAGUCUUCCGCAUUAUUUUCUAUUGAUAUACGUUGAAAUGAUAAGGUUUAGAUUGGUUGGUUCGCUCACAUAGGAGGGUAAAUGUGGGUGCCAGUCGCGGCUCGGUUUUGGGUCGUGACAAACCUUGUAUCAGAGCAUUAGGUUCGUUGGUCUCAUCACACAAGAACGAGUCUAGUAGAGUCUUAAGGAACGGUAGGGGGGCGCCUUUACUUUUCUUUGAGGGGCUAUAAGACUUUAGGAAAUUCCAUUCUUUCUUAUCUCUUUCGUGAUACUACUUGAAUCCAAUUGGUAUCUAGGUGAUUCAAAUUGGUAUCUGACCAUCUUCACUCUAUUUCGCAGAUGGUUAGAACUAGAUCAACGACUGCGCCAACACCAACACCGGCAAGACAAGAAACGUCUGAGCCAGCCACUGGGGCUGUGGCUCAAGGAAGAGCAAUAGCAAGAGGUCGUGGUAGAGUUCGUGGGAGGACGUCCUCUAGAGGGAGAGGACGAGUACCUAGCCCAUCUGAUGCUAGGGCGGUGACUCCUCCACCGACUGAGGAAGUAGUAAGAGAGGGUGAGGAAGGGGAGAAUGAACAAGUGCAAAAUGAUGAAUUGCCACCCCAACCUACCCCAGAGAUGAUCAAUCAGGUUCUCGCUUAUCUUAGUGGGUUAUCUGAUUAGGGCCAGACACCUCCAGUGUUUUCUGCACCAGUACCUCAGGUUCCGGAGGUACAACAUGCGGCUACUAUGGCUCCUCGUAUGGAUGCCUCAUUGGACAUAGGCACGUUUCCACGUCUGACUACUGGGCCUAUAAUGACAAAUGAUCAGCAUGAACUUUUCAGUAAGUUCUUGAAAUUGAAACCCCCAGUCUUCAAGGGUGCUGAAUCUGAGAAUGCUUACGAUUUUCUGGUUGACUGUCAUGAGCUACUACACAAGAUGGGUAUAGUAGAACGGUUUGGUGUUGAGUUCGUGAGUUAUCAGUUUCAAGGGAACGCCAAAAUGUGGUGGCGGUCACAUGUUGAGUGUCAACCAACAGAGGCACCACCUAUGACUUGGGCCUCAUUCUCUAGCUUGUUUAUGGAGAAGUGUGUCAACCAACAGAGGCACCACCUAUGACUUGGGCCUCAUUCUCUAGCUUGUUUAUGGAGAAGUAUAUCCCCCAGACUUUGAGGGAUAGGAAAAGGGAUGAGUUCUUGAGCCUAGAUCAAGGUAGGAUGUCGGUUAAUGCAUAUGAGGCUAGGUUUCGCGCACUAUCCAGGUAUGCCACUCAACUUUGUUUCAGUCUACAAGAGCGGAUUCGCCGGUUUGUGAAGGGGUUGAGGUCAGAGUUGCGGAUUUCGGCCUUACAGGUAGCGGCUACGGCAAAAUCCUUCCUAGAAGUGGUAGACUUCGUGAUAGAGGUGGAAGGAGUGAAGCCCAAUGACUUCACCUCGACAUCGACAUCAAAAAGGUUUCGAAAGGGAGGUGAGUUUAAUGGUUCUUACCCUAGGGGAUAGGGUUUCGGAGGUUACUCAGUCCGACCGAUUCAGUCUUCACUACAGACUGUAGUUGGGGGUCCACCUCAGACCGGUCAAAACUUCCUUGAGAGACCUAUGCAUGAACCAAGAAAGUGCUAUGGAUGUGGGGAGAUUGGAAAUAUUAAGAGAUAUUGUCCAAAACAGAGUUACCGACCCCCAAUAGCUAGAGGUAGAGGUGGUUAUGGAAGAAGUCGUCAUUCUGGAGGACGCGGUGGUCGAGGUAAUGGUGGUCACCAAAACGGCCGGGGUGAUGGGCAAACUGGAGCCACUACAUCACAACAUGGUAGGGGCAAUAGACAGACAAGUAAUGGGGCUCAUUGCUACGCUUUUCCUGGGAGAUCUGAAACGGAGACAUCAGAUGCUGUCAUCACAGGUAAUCUUUUAAUUUGUGAUUGCAUGGCUUCUAUAUUGUUUGAUCCUGGAUCCACAUUUUCUUAUGUAUCUUCCUCAUUUGCUAAUGGUCUAAAUUUACGUUGUGAAUUACUUGACAUGCCUAUUCAUGUUUCUACUCCGGUGGGUGAGUCUGUGGUAGUUGAAAAGGUAUAUAGGUCUUGUUUGGUGAACUUUGUGGGGAGCAACAGUUAUGUAGAUUUGGUUAUCUUAGAAAUGGUUGAUUUUGAUGUAAUUCUGGGUAUGACUUGGCUUUCUCCGCAAUUUGCGAUCUUGAUUGUAAUGCUAAAACGGUGACGUUAGCCAAGCCUGGGACAGAUCCGUUAGUGUGGGAGGGUGACUACACUUCCAAUCCGGUGUGUAUCAUCUCCUUUCUUCGUGCUAAGAAAAUAGUUAGUAAAGGGUGUUUGGCUUUCUUGGCACAUCUCAAGGAUGACACUACCCAAGUACCCUCGAUUGAGUCAGUUUCGGUAGUCCGUGAGUUUUUGGAUGUGUUCCCUGCAGAUCUUCCUGGUAUGCCACCGGAUAGGGAUAUUGACUUCUGUAUUGAUCUUGAACCGGGUACUCGCCCCAUUUCUAUACCCCCUUAUAGAAUGGCUCCCGCCGAAUUGAGAGAGUUAAAGGCCCAACUUCAAGAGUUGUUGAGCAAAGGUUUCAUUAGACCAAGUGCAUCUCCUUGGGGUGCUCCGGUUUUGUUUGUAAAGACGAAGGAUGGGAGUUUUCGGAUAUGCAUAGACUACCGGCAGUUGAACAAGGUAACCAUAAAGAACAAGUAUCCUCUUCCUCGCAUUGAUGACUUGUUCGAUCAGUUACAAGGUGCUCGUGUCUUCUCUAAGAUUGACUUGAGAUCCGGUUAUCAUCAAUUGAAAAUACGGGCAACGGAUGUGCCAAAGACUGCUUUUAGAAUCAGGUAUGGGCAUUACUAAUUUGUAGUGAUGUCUUUUGGUCUUACGAAUGCCCCUACUGCGUUCAUGAGUUUGAUGAACGGGAUUUUUAAGCAAUAUUUGGAUCUCUUUGUGAUCGUAUUUAUUGAUGAUAUACUGAUAUACUCAAAGAGCAAGAAGGAACAUGAAGAGCAUUUGAGAAUGGUAUUGGAAAUGUUGAGGGAGAAAAAUCUUUAUGCCAAGUUCUCUAAGUGUGAGUUUUGGCUAGAUGCAGUGUCCUUCUUGGGGCAUUUAGUUUCUAAGGAGGGAGUGAUAGUGGAUCCUUCCAAGAUUGAGACAGUGAAGAAUUGGGUAAGACCUACUAAUGUGUCAGAAAUAAGGAGCUUUGUUGGGUUAGCUAGCUACUACCACCGAUUCGUCAAGGGAUUCUCUUCUAUUGCUUCCCAACUGACGAACUGCAAAAUGUUCCAUUUGUAUGGUCGGAUGAGUGUGAGGAAAGCUUUCAGAAGCUCAAGACUCUGUUGACUACUGCACUAAUUCUCACCUUGCCAGUGGAAGGUAGGAAUUUUAUUGUCUAUUGUGAUGCAUCCUAUUCGGGUUUGGGUGCAGUGCUAAUGCAAGAGAAGAAUGUGAUUGCUUAUGCUUCGAGGCAAUUAAAAGUGCAUGAACAUAACUAUCCAACUCAUGAUUUGGAAUUGGCUGCGGUAGUGUUUGCAUUAAAGCAAUGGAGACACUAUUUAUAUGGGGUUAAGUGUGAGGUCUACACGGAUCAUCGUAGCCUUCAGUAUGUCUUUACUCAGAAAGAUUUGAACUUGAGACAGAGGAGAUGGAUGGAGCUACUAAAGGACUAUGAUAUCACUAUCUUGUAUCAUCCGGGGAAGGCGAAUGUUGUAGCGGAUGCUUUAAGUAGAAAGGCGGGAAGCAUGGGAAGUCUAGCCCACUUGCAAGCUUCUAGACGCCCAUUGGCUAGAGAAGUUCAGAUUCUGGCUAACGACCUUAUGAGAUUAGAAGUAAAUGAGAAGGGAGGAUUUUUUGCUUGUGUGGAGGCAAGAUCUUCCUUCCUUGACAAGAUUAAGGGAAAACAGUUUGAUGAUGAGAAACUAAGCAGAAUCCAAGAUAAGGUGUUGCGAGGAGAGGCUAAGGAAGCACAAAUCGAUGAGGAAGGUGUUUUGAGUAUUAAGGGAAGGGUAUGUGUACCCCGCGUCGAUGAUUUGAUCAACACUAUUCUGACAGAGGCUCAUAGUUCAAGGUAUUCGAUACAUCCGGGUGCAACAAAGAUGUACUGUGACCUAAAGCAACACUUUUGGUGGAGUAGAAUGAAGCGUGAUAUUGUGGAUUUUAUUGUCAAAUGUCCAAACUGUCAACAAGUAAAGUAUGAACACCAAAGGCCCGGAGGAACACUUCAGAGAAUGUCCAUUCCUGAAUGGAAGUGGGAAAGGAUUGCAAUGGAUUUCGUGGUUGGUCUUCCAAGGACAUUGGGAAAGUUUGAUUCUAUUUGGGUAAUUGUUGAUAGGUUAACUAAGUAUGCUCAUUUCAUUCCAGUUAAGGUGACUUACAAUGCCGAGAGGUUAGCCAAGAUCUAUAUCUCAGAAAUCGUUCGAUUGCAUGGGGUUCCACUAUCCAUCAUAUCAGAUAGAGGUACGCAAUUUACUUCUAAGUUUUGGAAAACAUUGCAUGCGGAAUUGGGUACUAGGUUGGACCUUAGUACUGCGUUCCAUCCUCAGACCGAUGGUCAGUCUGAGCGAACGAUUCAAGUGUUGGAGGAUAUGCUUCGUGCAUGUGUGAUAGAAUUUGGUGGUCAGUGGGAUAGCUUCUUACCCUUAGCAGAGGUCUCCUACAACAAUAGCUAUCACUCAAGUAUUGAUAUGGCUCCAUUUGAAGCAUUGUAUGGUAGGAGGUGUAGGUCCCCCAUUGGUUGGUUUGAUGCAUUUGAAGUUAGACCUUGGGGUACUGACCUUUUGAGGGAUUCAUUAGAGAAAAUGAAAUCUAUUCAAGAAAAGCUUCUAGCGGCGCAAAGUGGUGAUGCGGUUUGGUAAGCAAGGUAAACUUAGCCCAAGGUAUAUUGGCCCAUUUGAAGUACUCAAGCGAAUAGGGGAGGUGGCUUAUGAGUUAGCCUUGCCUCCAAGGCUGUCCGGAGUACAUCCGGUAUUCCAUGUGUCGAUGUUGAAAAGAUACCCUGGGGAUGGAAACUACAUUAUCCGUUGGGAUUCAGUUUUGCUUGAUGAAAAUUUGACUUAUGAGGAGGAGCCUGUUGCCAUUUUAGAUAGAGAAAUUCGCAAGUGGAGAUCAAGGGAGAUUGUAUCCAUCAAAGUUCAAUAGAAGAAUCGACCAGUCGAAGAAGCCACUUGGGAGAAAGAGGCUGAUAUGCGAGAAAGAUACCCACACCUUUUACAGAUUCAGGUACUCCUUUUCGCCCUUGUUUUCCUUCUUGUGAUCGUUCGGGGACGAACGAUGGGUAAAUUGGUAUCUAUUGUAACGACCUGUUUAGUCAUUUUGAGCAGCAGACUUCAAUUCUGGAAAAACUGGCAAAAACGACUGACCCCACGACGGACCGUCAUGGGCACGACGGACCGUCGAGGGGGUCUCGUUCCAUAACACUUAGAAAAUAGAAAAUUGGGUACUGAAAUCGACUCUCUGAACUCUGUGACGGACCUGUAGGACGAACCGUCACAGGUACGACGAACCGUCGUGAGCCCCCGUUUCAAAACACUUCAACUCUUGAGAAUUUGGUACAGGGAACGAUUCUCUGAACGUCGUGACGGAGGUGCAGGACGGACCGUCGUAGGUACGAUGGGCCGUCACAGACUCUUUAAGGAAAUCGAGUAUCUGACGAACCUGCAUGACGGACCGUCGCAGGCACGACGGGCCAUCGCAGGUUGCGCAAUCCCAGUCUGGGUCGGAUUUCUUUACACGUUUUAAGGGACGUUUUUGACUAUUCCUGCUUUAAUUAUAAAGUUAGUGGGUUAAUGUUAAUAAGUCUAAUUACUUGGGGGUUAAAAGAGGUAACCUCAAGUUAAUUAAUGGGUUAUUAUUGCCAUCUUUCAUUCUUAAUUAUAUACUAAUUAGGGUAAAAGAAAGAGGGUUUGAAUAAAGAAAAUAGAAAGAACACAAAGAGAGAGAGGGAGAAUCGAACGAGAAGGUGAAAAGAAGAGGAGAAACACAAAGCUUUGGGAAAUUGCUUGCUUGAUUUCUAGUCUUCGGUGGAGGUAGCUUAUGGUUUCAUGCUAUUCGUAGUAAACUCUUAAUAGCGAAUGAUAUGUGUUAGUAGUAUUGUAAACCCUUCUAUAUGCUUAAUUGUAUGCUUGCAUGAAUGAUGUGAUUAUGUAAUUAUGAAUAAAUAAGCAUGAUGAAGUUAUUGAAUCCCAAAUCUUGAAAAGAAACCCUAAUCUACUUUGUUAAUGAUGAUGCCUUGGUAUAAAAGAAGGCUUGAUGAACGAAAGGGGUGAGAUUAGGGGAUCGGGUGCCACGUUUCGGUACCAGGAUAGAGAUAGAGGAUCGGGUGCCACGUUCCGGUACCAGGAUAGAAUGAGUAUCGGAGUGUCACGUUCCGACACCAGGAUAGUAUAUGGAUCGGGUGCCACGUUCCGGUACCAGGAUAGAAUGAGGAUCGGAGUGUCACGUUCCGACACCGGGAUAGUAUAUGGAUCGGGUGCCACGUUCCGGUACCAGGAUAGAAUGAGGAUCGGAGUGUCACGUUCCGACACCAGGAUAGUAUAUGGAUCGGAGUGUCACGUACCGACACGAGGGGAAUAAAUAUAAUGAAUCUUGUAAGAUGCUAAUAUACUCAAUUUAAUGAAACUAAUUCCCAAAUGAGUAUGGUAUUGAGGCUUGAGUCCUCACGUGUGAACUUGACGGUAUUUGUUAAUGAUAUAGUACUUGUUGUUGUUACAUGUUGAGUAUCAUAGUUGAUUUUAUGAUAUUGCUUAAUAUAUAUUGUUUUCUAUUUCGAGUUGGCCGAUGAUAUCUACUCAGUACCCGUGUUUUGUACUGACCCCUACUUUUAUGUUUUCUUCUUUGUUAUUUGUGGAGUGCAGCAAACGUGCCGUCGUCUUCGACUCAACAGUAAUUCAAGCCAGUCUUUACUACACCGGAAAUUCAGGGUGAGCUAAUGCUUCUAGCUUGGACUGGAUCUUCUUCUUCAAGUCUUGAUGCCUUGAACUUCCGGCAUGGACUAGCUUCUUAUGUAUUUUUAGCUUCUUAGACAUUUUUAGUUAGUAAUUUGAUCAUAGAUGUUCUUGUGAUGAUGACUUCCAGAUUUUGGGGAAUAAUAGUUAUUGAAUUGGUUUUUAUUUAAUGAGCUUAAGUCUUCCGCAUUAUUUUCUGUUGAUAUACGUUGAAAUGAUAAGGUUUAGAUUGGUUGAUUCACUUACAUAGGAGAGUAAAUGUGGGUGCCAGUCGCGGCUCGGUUUUGGGUCGUGACAGCAUAGAAAGCUAAGUAACUAAUUCAUACUUAUUGGUCAAAUUAAAUAGUCAAAAUAAAUAAAUUCAUGUUUAUUGAUUGAAAACUUGACUUCAAAAAAACAGUAAGAAUAGAAUAAAAUUUGCUUAAUUUCGUAAUACACAUAAAAUCUAAAAUAGUGACAUAUAAAUAUGAUCGGAGAGAGUAUAAGUUAAUUCUCUAUUUGUAUCAUACAAAUAGAGAAUCAAGAUUUUAUUAAUGAUUUUUCUUUUAUUUUUUGAUGUAAAGCGCAGUCAAGGCAGCGAUUUCACUUUAAUUUUUUUUAAUUUUCUUACAUAAAUCGCUGGCAAUUUCUCCAAUCUUUUUGUAAAUUUUUUUUAAUUGUGUCGUAAAGCGCUGCAAUUGCAGCGAUAUUUUUUUGCUAAAAAAAUCAAUAUUGUAAAUCGUCUAUGCAUGACUUUAUUGAUUUUUCUUUUUUUUUUGAACAAAUUUUUAGUGGAUUUUUUUAUAAAAUUGAAACUUCUUUUUUAACGUAAGAAAAUUAAAAAAAAUUAAACUGUAAUCGCUGCCUUGGCAGGGAUUUGUUGUAAAAAAAAUUUAUUUUAAAAAAGUGAAUUGUACAAAUUGGUGCUAUAGCAGCGAUUUUCCUUAGCGUCGGCAAACAAAAUCACUACAUCCUAAGCGAUUUUAUCGUUUUGGUUAUAAAAAAAUUCAUAUACCUGUAACGACCUGUUUAGUCGUUUUGAGCAGCAGAUUUUAUUCUGGAAAAACAGGCUGAGGCGACGGACCCAACGACGGACCAUCAUGGGCACGACGGACCGUCGCAGGGUCUCGUUUGAAAACACUUAGAAAAACUGAAAAUUGGAUACUGAAAAUCGACUCUUUGAACUUCGUAACGAAAUGGCAGGACGGACCGUCACAGGUAUGACGGACCGUCACAGACCAUUGGUGGAAAUUUGGGUCUCUGAACUUUGCGACGACCUGCAGGACGGACCGUCGCAGGCACGACGGCCCGUCACAGGUUGCGCAAUCCCAGUCCGGGUCGGAUUUCUUGAUACGUUUUAAGGGACGUUUUUGACUAUUCUUGCCUUAAUUAUAAAGUUAGUGGGUUAAUGUUAAUAAGUCUAAUUACUUGGGGGUUAAAAGAGGUAACCUUAAGUUAAUUAGUGGGGCAUUAUUGCCAUCUUUUAUUCUUAAUUAUAUGUUAAUUAGGGUAAAAGGAAGAGGGUUUUGAAUAAAGAAAAUAGAAAGAACAAGAGAAAGAGAGACAGAGAGUCGAACGAGAAAGAAGAGAAACAAAGCUUGGAGAAAAAUUUGCUUGCUUGAUCACUAAUCUUCGGUGGAGGUAGGUUAUGGUUUCUCUUACGAUAUUCGUAGUAAACUCUUAAUAGAGAAUGAUAUGUAUUGAUAAUAUUGUAAACCCUGCUAUGUGCUUAAUUGUAUGCUUGCAUGAAUGUAAUUAUAUAAUUGUGAUUAUAUAAGCAUGAUGAAGUUAUUGAAUCCCAAAUCUUGCAAAAUCCUAAUCUCUUUGUUAAUAAUGAGGCCUUGGUAUAAAAGAAGGCGUGAUGAACUAAAAUAAUGGGAUUGAUGAUGCCUUGGUAAGAAAGAAGGCUUGAUGAAUUGAUGGAAGGAGAUUAGGGGAUCGGGUGUCACGAACCGACACGUAGAAUUAGGGGAUCGGGUGUCACGAACCGACACGUAGUAUUAGGGGAUCGGAUGUCACGAACCGACACGUAGUAUUAUGAGAUCGGGUGUCACGAACCGACACGUAGUAUUAGGGGAUCGGGUGUCACGAACCGACACGUAGUAUUAGGGGAUCGGGUGUCACGAACCGACACGUAGAUUUAGGGGAUCGGGUGUCACGAACUGACACAUAGAUUUAGGGGAUCGGGUGUCACGAACCGACACAUAGAUUUAGGGGAUCGGAGUGUCACGUACCGACACAAGAGGAUUAAUGAAUAUUGAGGGAGCGGAGUGUCACGUACCGACACAAGAGAAAUAAAGAUAAUGAAUCUUGAAAGAUAUUAAUAUACUCAAUCUAAUGAACAUGAUUCCCAAAUGAGUAUGGUAUUGAGGCUUGAGUCCUCAUGUGUGAACUUGACGGUAAUUGUUAAUGAUAUAGUAUUUGUUGUUGCUACAUGUUGAGUAUCAUAGUUGAUUUUAUGAUAUUACUUGGUAUAUAUUGAUUUCUAUUUUGAGUUGGCCGAUGAUAUCUACUCAGUACCCGUGUUUUGUACUGACCCCUACUUUUAUAUUUUCUUCUUGUUUAUUUGUGGAGUGCAGCAAACGUGCCAUCGUCUUCAACUCAACAGUAAUUCAAGCCAGUCUUACUACAUCGGAAAUUCAGGGUGAGCUAAUGCUUCUAGCUUGGACUGGAUCUUCUUCUUCAAGUCUUGAUGCCUUGAACUUCCGGCAUGGACUAGCUUCUUAUGUAUUUUUAGCUUUUAGAACACUCUUAGUUUAGUCAUUUGAUCGUAGAUGUUCUUGUGAUGAUGACUUCCAGAUUUUGGGGAAUAAUAGAUGUUGAAUUUUAGAAGUUAAUGAAUUGGUCUUUAUUUAAUGAGUUUAAGUCUUCCGCAUUACUUUCUGUUGAUAUUAUAUUGAAAUGUUAAGGUCAGAUUGGUUGGUUCACUCACAUAGAAGGGUAAGUGUGGGUGCCAGUCGCAACCCGGUUUGGGUCGUGACAAUACCUUUUUGAAAUUUUUGUUAAUAUUUUUCACCCUUUAGCCUCUGUACUUGCAUGAAUUACAAUAUUCUUCCUAUUUUACUCUUGUGAAUAAUUAGCUUUGAAAGUAUAUGUUUGAUCAACCUAGAAAAACUAAGUGAAUAGUUUAUGUUCAUUAAUUCAAUUAAUUAAUAAAAAUAAAUUAAUUAAUAUUUUCUUGACAAAUUCCUAUUUGAUUUUUUAAUUUAAUUCAAAAUUUUCAAGUUCCAUGUUUCACUCUUUUCUUGACGAGUUUUGUAAUAAACUAUGUACAAGAAAAGCUGUAGCUAUAAAGAAAUCAACGUAGUACAAAAUUGAAAAUUGUAUUUCAUUAAGUAAAAAAAUAGAAGGGCUUAACAACAAAACAAACUAAUUAAAUUUUAACUUAAACCCCCUGAAAUAAUAAUAAUAAUAAUAAUAAUAAUAAUAAAACAAUACUACAACAAGAAUCAUCAACCACAUACAUAAUAAGAGAGAAUAGACAAACAAAAAUUUGGAUACAACGAUGAAAUAACUAUAGAUAAUACAAAUUUGGAUAUUCAUUAAACUAUAUAUAGUGAAUAUCCUGAUACUAUAUUGCCUAAUUCUCGUUUCUAGGUACAUCAUCCAUGACAAACACGCCUAUUGAAACCCUUCAUGGAGGCGUAUAUCGGUGCCCAAUCCUUUUAUAACGAGGCGUAUAUAAGUGCUAAACUGUAAUGUUAAGAAAUACUUUUUAAUUAGUUUUCUAAAUAUAAUUUAUUCCUUUAUUUCUUUUUGUGUUAAUACUAGAACUAGAAUAGAUCAAUUGAUGUUCAUAACAAAUUCCAACACCUCACUCAUAAUGAAAUUGAUCAUAAUUUAAAGUACUAAAUCAUGCUAAAUAAGUUAAGUAAGUAUUAGUUACAUGCCUAAAUAUUAAAAGAAAAUAAAAUUAGAUCAUGUAUUUUAAUUGUUUAAAUCUAUGUAAAACUAAAAAAUAAAUAUUCAAUAUUAUUGUCAUUCUUAGUGUUGAAUUGAUUCGUUUUUUGCAUUAUUAUUAAUUUGAUUUUUAUUUAAACUUUAUUAUAAUUACCAACAUGUAUGGUCUAUAAUCUUUAUUUGAUAAUUAAGAAUUCUAACUUCCAAACAUAAAAUAAAUAUAGUAAAAGAUAAAAACUGUGAAAAAAGUAUAAGAGAUAUUUAUUAAUUAUAUCAAAGUAAGUAUUUUUACGUAUAAAAUAAAAACUUUAAUUUAUAUGUAUAAUGUCGGGUUGGUUUGGUCUCGGGUUGAUUUAUUAUAGUUGAAACCAACCCAACCCAAAUAUAGUCGGGGUUUUUUUUUCCAACACAAAAUUGAGUCAAACCAAACCACUAGUCAGGUUUUUUUUCGAUUUGACUAGGUCUGCGGGUUUAGUUCAAUUUUCGAUUUGAUUUUAUACACUCGAUUUUGAUUUUUGUGAUCUGUAGUAAGAGAUAUAGAGCAAGUCUUUUUUCCAUUAAACUUAUUUAUUUUAUUUUAUUUUUGUAGGAAAGAAGGGGGACCUUGUAUAAUUUUUUUGAUUUAGAUUUGAUGUAUCUUUGUUAAAAAAGUGGGUUACAUACACUCCUAUUAUCAUAUAAACGUGAAUUACUUUAUAAUGAGCGAUAUAUAAAUUUUAAUAAAUUAUAAAAUUGAGGAGGAGUAUAUCAAGACUUUUUACGGACUUGCGUAUUUAGAUAUUUUAGAGAUUCUGUUAAUUAAAGUAGAAGAGUAGGUGAAUAUUGGUAUGUUGAAAACAUGUGCUAUUUAUACUCAUGAAUAGAAUAAUUAAGUAGUAUAUAAUUGUUUAGUUAAACGUGUUGGGAGCCGUGCAUGCAUAUAUAUAUAUAUAUAUGCAUUUCAUGACAUAUAUAAUAAUAUAAUAAUAAUAUUAUCCAAUCUCACCAUUUAUUUAAUAUAAUAUUACAUGAUAAUUAAGAGGGCACUUCAUUUAUUUAGGUGUGUGUGAGUGAGUGAUGAUGGAGUAGUCCUAGGUAAUAGUGACGGUUGCUAGAGAUGUAAGUAUCCCAAAAAUUGCUGCCAAAGUUUGACCAACCACAUUCUCAAGUAAGUUUCCAAUAAGGAUAACGGGAGCUACAAGGGUUCCUGUGGUUGGAGUCAAAGUGCAAUUAGCAAUUGGGAGAGGAAUCCUUGCAAUACAUGUUCCUGACAAAAGACUUGUAUUGGUGGACACUGCAGCAUUAAUAAUGCCUUG